UGACGAAAACAUUUUCUUUUUGUUGUUUUUUGUUUCGUAGAACCUGACUAUUUAUUUUUUCUUUACAAGGUGGCUUGGGCGCUGUUGGUUCCUGGGGCUGGGUUGCACGGGUGUGCCUGUGACGGUGUCUGUCCGAGACUGGUUGGGAUUUUGGUGAGGGUGCAAUUUGGUGCUUGAUGUUGGUGCGAAUGAAGGGUGCCGAGGGCUCUGGGGGUAUCUUCGCUGGGUGUCCGGGGCCUGGGAUUGUGCCUCUCGUGCUGCAGGGUUGUGUGGCUUUUCUGGUUUGUUGUUGGGAGCCUAGGACUAGGUGGAAGGAUGACGGGGGCUGGAACCCAUUUGAAAGGCUGGGGCUGUCGCGGGUGCCUGGGCGAGGCUUUGGCUGGGUGGAAGGCCGAGUCUUCUGGUGUAGUGCCUGGAGCGCGCUGGUGCCCCGAGGAAAGCCUGGUGCGUGGCUUUGGCGUGCACGAGGGUUGGCCAGUGCUCUAAUUUGAUGCCUGGUGGUAAGGUCUGUUCUCUGAAGGGGCUGGUGUUGGGGUGUUUUUUGUGAGGACUAGGGAAUGGGUGCUCAGGGGCAAGUGUGGGUCUUGGCAGCGGGUGGGUUUUGGCAGCGCAUGGCACCACUGUCUUUUUUUUUUUUUUUUGAUUAAUUAAUUAUUAUCAUAUUAUUAUUUAAUAUUAUUGCAUUUUAAUAUUUAAUUAUAAAAUAAAAAUAGAGAGCCAAUUUGAUUUAUCCGAAAAUUUUGGACAUAAUUUAAUGUCUACAUUAAUAAUUUAAGUUAUAUAAAUUUUAAAAAUAAAAUUUUAAUUAAUAAAUAAAUUAUUUUAUUUUAAUUUUUACACAUAUCAAAUAUAAAAUAAAAUAAUAUUAUUUAAUAUAAUAUUAUUUAUAAUAUUAUUUUAUUUUAUCUAAUUAUAAUUUUUUAACCAAAAAUAUCCAUAAUCUAUAAAAUAUUCCAAAUAAAUAUGAAGAAAUCUUGUUUUAUUAAAAUUUGUCGUACCAAUUGUUAGAAAGGAGUAUUUUUUUUUUUUUUUUACAAACAUUAAUUCCUUGUAUUUUCUCCCCAAUUAUUAAAGGAGCAUAGACAUAGACAAUAAAUAUUGACUACACGAAUCAUAUGUUGUAAGAAAAGGGUUAAUUUUGUGUGCAUACCGACAGUAGGAAGGAAAUGGAAAGGACAAGGGAAAGGAAAUUUGUUGAUUUUGUUUUUUUCAUACGUGACCGCUACGUUUGGAGGGAUAAUGCCGUCUUGACUGUACCCAAGUAAUAACAUGUUUGGUUGGGUAGAUUGAAAUGAGAAAGAAUUACAUAAAAGUUUUUAAGUAAAAUUUAUAAAGUAUUUUACUAAUUAAAAAUGAUUUAAUAAAAUUUAAAAUUUAAAGCAAAAAUUGAAUUACAUAAAUUAAGUGUGUAAAUUUAAAAUUUUUUAAUAAUUUUAAUUGAUAUAUUUUUAGAUAAUUAUUUUUAGUAAAAUUUAUGAAAUUUUUUAUUAAUUAAAAAUGAUUAAAUAAAUUUUAAAAUUUAAAACAGGAAUCGAAUUACAUAUUUUGAAAAAAUUUAAAUAAAUUUAUUUGAUAUAUUUUUAGAUAAUUAUUUUUAAUAAAAAUUUUGAUAGAAUUUUAUUAUAGAAUAAGUAUUAAUUAAUUUGAAUUAUAAAUGAUAUUUUUAAUAGUUUUUUUUAUAUAUUAUUGACUUUUUAUUGAAUUCUAUUAAAUUAUUUAUUUAAAUUUUUAUUAAAAUUUUAAUUGAAUUGUUUUUAUUAAGAACUUCACUUACUUUAUUUAGAAAGCUUCAUCUCUAAGUUUUGUCGGAUUGAAACCAUUUCCUUACUUAUUUCAUGGUGUGCAUGGAUGCAAUAUUUAUUUUAUUUUUUUUUUUUAAAGAAAAAGAACCGUAAGUAGCUCAUUUUAAUUAGUUGUUUGGCACAUUAAUUAAAAAAUAUUCUUAUUAUUUAUAAUUAAAUCUAGCUUGUAACAUAUUAAGAUUUCUUCAUUAAUUAUAUAAAAGAUAUCCUCAUUAAGUAAUUAAUCCACAAAAAGUCCCAAUUUACAAUAAUUUUAUUCAAAAAUAUUUAUGCUUAUUAAGUUGGCAUAUUACUAUCCUAUUUUCGGACCGAUCAUUUUUAUAUAUUUCGGUCCAAAAAAAUUAUGGCCUCGUGAUUUGAAUAAUAAUUAAAUUAAAUCUUAUAUAGCAAAACAAAUAAAAACCCAAAAUUUAGUUUUAAAAAAAUUAGAAUAAUUUUUGUUGACAAAAAAAUUAUUAGAUUAAUUUGAUACGUCAAAUUAAUUAUUAGCUUUAGUUAUAAUAUAAGCUUUUGGCAAUCAAUUCAUCAUUAUCAAAUAAAAAAAAAAGUGGCAAGAUUUCAAUUUUGAUAACUUUUUUUUUUGUAAGAAAAAAUUUAGAAAUAGAUAGAUUACUCAAUUUCUUAUGUUAAAAUAAUAUAUGUGAUAUCUGAUAAAUUAAGAUAAAUGACUGUAAGUCAUGUAUUAAAAAUAAUUCAUACAAAAAAUUAUCGACAUGAUUCAAAUCUAAAAUUUUUUCGUUGAAAAAAACGAUUUUAACCAAUUAAACUUAUUAUUUGUUGGUUUGAUAACUUUAAAUAAAUAUAUAUAUAUAUAUAUGUAUAAGGAAAUAAUAAUAUAGUGGGAGAGUAACAAGGCAUUUUUUUUUCUUUUAUUCCAAAAAUACUAUAUUAGCUUAAUUUGCAAAACGAAUGAGUAUAUAGAAUGAACGAUUUUAUCAGAAAAAAAAAAUGAUUAGAGGCUAGUGAAGUAAAAAAAAAAAAUUCAAGAAAACUGCAGGACUCACGAUCAAUUGAUCAUGUUUUCUUCACCUUGUGACUAAGUUUCUCUUUCCUCUCUCUUUCUUUUCUCUUCAUCUCCUGUUGUAAGUGAUAACUAUUCUUCUGUUCUUCUUCUUGUUUCUUCAUCCUCUUCUUCUGCUCUUCUUCUUUUCUCUUCAUCUCAUGUCGUAGUUGAUAACUAUUCUUCUGCUCGUUCUCUUUCUUUUCUUCUCUCUUCCAUCUCUCAUUCUACUUAUGCUUUGCUUUCUUUCUAGUUUGUAUCUCUUGCAGUUCUUCUACCGUGAGUUAUCUUUUGACGUUGAAGCACAUUUCAUCUAGUUGCAAGAUCUGUUGCUAUUCUUUUCUCGAAGAUGGAUGAUACUUUAAAGCUGAGUGAAGUAGCACAUUUAUAGGAGAAGAUUGUCGAUGCAUUUGGUGCAUGUGCAUAUCCACGUGCAUUUAUAGGAGAAGAUUGUCUGUAUUUGUCUUAACUAUGCACAGAAUUGGAUUCAUAAUCAACAAACGAAUAUUCACUAUGCAUUACCUAUUACCGUCCACAGGUGGCCUUUCUCACUUUUCGAUUCCAUGCAAUUCCUUCCGUUCAUAAAUAAACAUCACAUCCAGCAGAUGUUCGACCAAGCAAGAAGUCACUAAUUGUGUCUUUUGAAACGAGUGGAAUUAGCAGAAUUUUGAUUAACAAAAUCAAACUUUUGUAUUGGAAGAAAUGAAAAGAAUUAAUCUGAGAGCCAUUGCAUAUUUUUGUUGAGAAAGUUUUGGCAAACUGUAAAUGAUCAGUUUCCAUUCAUUGAAUAUAGAUCGUUACAUUAACAGUUGACCCAUAACAACCUUAACUUCGUGACUUUAUGGUAUUAGGAAUUUUUGCCCGUUCGAAAAUUGACUUGUCUCAGCUUUAACUCAUGUUGCUUAUUAAUAUGUUGUGUGGUGGGACUUUGUCUCAAGUCCAAAACCGAAUGGAAAUAGUGGAUCCUAAUUGGGAUAUCUCCAUAGUUCAUUGGAAGCUGAUCUGGUCUCUUAAAACCAUGUACGAGCCAGUUUGCCGGUGAAUCCAUAGUCACCGAAGAGAAUAUCAGGCUUACCUUGGCCUUCACUUCCUGGGAGCGAUGCGGCCACCAGGGCGUCCAUUGAGUUAAGAUAUGGCUCAAUUACAACGGGACCCCCAACAACGCAAUUGAUAGCCUGACAAACACUCUGGAUUGUUUUUGGACCUGAAUCAGGGAUAGUCAAGUGUUGGCUGUCACCUCUUGUCUAUGCACAAGGAACCUCACCAACAACCAAGUGGCAUAGUCGAAUUUCUUUUUAAAAAAGUUUUGCUUCGGUGCUUUUAUCGACAGUACGUGGCUUUGAUGGCGUUGAGGAUGGUGGUGCCCGCUCAAAAAAUUAAUCGAUAAAUUUUGUUCAAGAGAAGAUAUCAAGAACUCAAUAAUGCAGGAAAUAAAAGCAUAUAAUAUAAUAUAAUAUAUUGACAAGUAGAAUUUGGACGGGUUUUACGACAACAGGAGAAAAUUAAACAAAUUUUAAUUUUUACCCAUAUAUGCUAAUAACGUAGGCUUUUGAAUAUUCUAAUACGCCGAUUGUUUCACUCAUUUGGGAAGUAGAACGAAGUGAUCGUCACGUCCGCCUGGAACUAGAAGGAACUCGGAAUACGGAGGCAUCCUCGUUCUUUUGAUGUUUUAUUAAUGUAUUUACAGAUCGUUCGUUGAACAAGUUUCGAUAAUGAUUUUUUCGCAAGUUUAAUUACGAAAAUUUUAUUAUAAUUUUUUUUUCUUUUAAAUGAUAAAGUUCAGUGAACUUGCCCAUACAUGACUUUUCUUAGGUCUGUAAAUCUAUGCAUGCCCCUAAUUUUUUUAAUAAUAAUAUAUUUUCUUGCAUUCAUAUGAUUUAUUGAUGUUUUUACUAUCAAAAUAGCUUUCACAAAAAUCAAAUUAAAAUCUUAUGUUUUUCAGUUGAAUUAAUACAUUGAUCAAUUUAAACAGAAAGAGAUUUUUUAUUUUUGGUAAAAAAAUUAAAUAGAUUAUUGUUUGAAAAAUUAAAAAAAAAUUAACACAAAGUACGUACGUAAUAUAUUUUACGGAACGCUGUCGUUUGAAACGAAGCCAGCUAACGUACCCCUUCUCAGCAACUAAAGUUACUAAACGCAAGUUUUGGGUUGUGUUUUUGGAGAGAAGAAAAAGAAGAGAAAAGAAAAGAAAAAAUGGGAGCAGAAGACGAACAAAAGCAAGAGAACGAACAAUCAAGGACCAAUCCAAUUACGGAAUCCCAGUUCCUCGCUUGGAAGCGCCAAAAGGUCUCUCUUUUUCUCUCCCUCUCUUUUUUUUUUUAUAUUAUUCGUUGAUUUUUCUUUCUAACGAUUUAUGUAAAUUAGGGUUUUAUAUAGUUGUCUCUUUCUUAUUAAAUUUUCACUUAAUUUCAAUUAAAUCGCAUUUGUCCCUCAAAGCUAAUAUAAUUAAGCAAUGAAUUAUUUCCAUUUACCAUUGAAAUCUGAAAUCUUUUUGGUGGCCAGAGUCUUUGGAAAAUAAAGGUUCAAUGUCCUUAAUUUUUUUAUUGUUUGUCCGAUUGUAUGAAUCAGCUUUUUAAAUUUUUAAUUCAUGUGAUUUUCAGGAUGCAGAUGCAUCAGCUAAGAAAGCUGAGGCAGCUAGGAAACGUGCCGAAGAUAUAGCAGCCGGGACGGUGCAAAUGAAUGGACGGGAGCUUUUCUUGCAUGAGCCUUGGGUGUUUGAUAACUCUCAAUAUUAAGGUUAGUUUCAAGGAAAGACCAUGUAAUGUUGAUUUGAGCAGGACAUAGUGUUUAAAGGCUCUGAUGACGCUCAAAUUUCAAGUCUUUUGGCUCUGUUUCUUCAAGAGAAGGCAAAAUUGGUCCUAUGGAAAGAAACAAGUAUUUCUGGUUCUUGGUUACAUCGUUGAUAGUGUAUCUUAAGUCAUUUUACCGUUUUCCCUUUGUUUGGUUUGGUGUGCUAACUUUGUUAAUACUUAAACUAUCAGUAUUAAUUGAUUAUUGCCAUUUUUUUGAUUAAUUCUUUUGGUACUCUUUGUCUGAUACAGCUUUUGAUUGCUGUGUUCAUUAUAGACUCUGGUUUUGGGAUAUUGUAUUUUGGAUCGUCAUUCCUAGCUUCAUAUGAAGUUAAUCAUGACAAAUGAUAUUAAUGCAUUUGUAGGAAUUUAUAGUUACAACUUUCCUCUGGAUCCAAUGCUAAUUCAGCAAGCCAGCUGCUUAGUUUCCUUAAUUCAUACUUGAAAUGUUGAAUGGCUUUUGGCAAGCAUAUCCGAUGGUUUUCAACUGCCAUCAGAUGUCUAACAGAUCUAAGCACCACAUUUUAGUUUCAAAGAAAUCUCAUUUCAUUUUCUUGUUCUGCAAAAGUAUGAAGGUUUCCACACACACAAAAAGCAGGUGGUAGAUGAAUGAGGUUAGAGUAUCAGGAUUAGGCUGAUUGGCAGCUAGCAGGUGGUUCUAGGAUUCAGGGCCAGAAAUAAGAGGUGAUGAGACAUAGGCAAUUCUAGGACUCAGGGCAAGAAAUAAGAGGUGAUGAAAUAUAGGCGGUCCUACGAAUAGACGAGGCUGUUGGUAGAGUGCUGGACUCUUCAUUUUAGUGACCAGGGUUCAAAUCCUAACUUCAAUUAUCAAAAAGCAAUAUAGGCAGACCUAGGAUUCAGGCAAGAAAGAAGAGGUGAUGAAAUAGAUUUUUAUAUAAGCUGUACCUGUUUUCAUUGACACCUAUCGGAAUUCUUCCUCUCAAACCCUAAUUAGUGAAGCUGAACAAUCCAAGGAAUUAAGCAGAAACAUUAUGUCAUGUGCUUGUUACAGCAUUUGGUGAUACAAUUGUGUAUAAAAACCUGGAUUGUAGAUCUUGUCUUUUCUUUUUUGAAGAGGUUAUGCACUUAACUGCAACGGUAUUGUAAUAUGAAUAAAGUGUACUCUAAACCUUAUUAAUAUGAGAUGUUUGUUAUACUCCUUGUCCCUGAAUUUUAAUAUAGGUAAGUUCAUGAACUGUAAAUAAUCAAUUACCUUGUCAGUUCGUUAGAAGUUUCUUCCUUUUGAUUCUUGAGGUGUACUUACCUGUCCUGCAAAAUUGCAUCUGGCAUGAGGCCUUGCUAAUUUUCCUUUUUAAUAUUGUAGCUAAUAAGUUUGCAAAAAUUGCUUUACGCCCAGAGAGAAGCCAAACUAGAGGGCAAAAGGUUUGGGAGAAUGGCUAGACAAAGCAGCUUUCUUUUUUUUUUUUUUUUUUGAGAUAAGACAAAAGCAACUCUUGAGUAUUGAACAAAUUGAAAUUGGGUCAUGUCAUAGGGUUCAUGUCCUUGAUUAAGAUGUAUCCCUAGGGCAGUUGUCUCUGGUAUGCGUAUAUAAAAUUGAGAAAUAUGGCAUAAUCGUGAGGGUAAACAUCAUUUCCCUGCAUAAUGUUUUCUACAAUCAAUUAAUAAAGGGUUUUUGGAAUUGAGUAGGAAUUUACUUAUAGGAGAUAAAAUUUUUCUUUUUAUCCAUGUCCAAGACCCAAACCCAAGAUUUAAAGAUCCAUUUGUGUUAUGGUUAAAAUCAAAGACACCUUACAAAAACUUGAGAGUUUGAAAUCCCAAAUUUACAAAUACACUUAAUAAACCCCAAAUUAAUAGUAAGGUAUAGAUUAGUGUAACUCUUAUACUUAUUUUGGAUAUUAUGAUUAAAAUUAAAUUUAUAAUUUAUUUGAAUCAAAAUAAUUUUUUUUAAAUUUAGUAAUUUUGAUUCAAUGAUCUAAAAAAAAUAUAAAAGUUACAUUAGUGUAAGUGGAUUCCUCCUCUUUGGUAUUAUAACAUCGAUUAACUCAUUUUCGUUGCAUAAUGUGAAUUUAUCAUGUUUUAUUAGUUAUAAGAGUUAGAGGAUUGAUUUCGGAUUCCUUUUGGAGGUUUUAAGUGGUCAUUAUUAUUUCUUAAAACUUCAGCAGUGACAGAUAUUGCUUUUAAUAUGAAGGUUCUUUUCUUUUCUUUUCUUAUUUAUUUAUUUAUCAUGUGGAUCGUAGCUUGGCUUGAUAAAAGAUUGAACAUUGCCAUUCGAAUAUUAUCAAUGUGCAGUAAGAAACAUUCAAUAGAGAGAACCAUGGUCACUUAUAGGAGGAAACUUCACCUAAUAAUGACUUUUUAUUUGUAAAUAGCUGUCUCUUAAAAUGCAUUUUAUACCAAAACAAAGAGAGAGGAUCAACACCUUAAUUUAUCCAGGAAAUGAUUGCCUUGUAAUCUAAAAUCCUGUUCUAAGAAUUCGAAACACUGAGUGAACAGAAACUUUAAACCGAGACAAACUGAAAUCAACAACUUCUUCCCUUAUCUUAUCCCUUUUUUAACACAAUCCCAGCAGAGGGCCUCUUCGGCCUUGAUCUCAGUGCCAUCCAAACUGCACAUCAAACACCAGAGCUGUUAGGGGUUUAAUAUACUUCAAGCAAGGCAUAUAUCACAAUAUGCCGAAUCAGUUAAUUACAAUAAGAAUUUAAUGCCAGAAAUCAGGAAAAAUAUCAGAUCCAGCAUAGCAAUUUUUCUCUAAUAUAGACACCUAGAAAACAUAUCCAACUAGCCUUGCGAACGUUACAGUGCCUCCAAGAAAAUGUGCCCAUGAAUGCAAGAUUUCGUGGCCUUUUUAAUGUUUCAAUCAAGUUGUUUCUCUUCCUUGUUGUGGAUUAACUUUUAACCAAUGACAGAAAGGUUUCAAUCAAGGUCUCGGCCGUAUCUCCCUGUUAGAGCGAAGUAGGCUAGGAUAGUAGGUUUAGGGUUUGAAGGACAGACUCCAGUUUCUUCUACAAGAUUUGCAGCUCUACACCAAAUUAGAAGGAUAUCGCGUCGAAGCUCCUAUGAAAAAACGAAGAGGGUUUUGAGUUAAAACCUUUUUUUUUUUUGCUUCAGGCUCAAGUAACAAAUUAUUUGUUUAAAAAUAUUAGCUCCUUCCUACUUGAAGAGAAUCAGUUAGGAAGAAAUAGAAAUCCAAAAAAGAAAGGAAACAUGUCAUAAUUAGAAGUAAAAUAACAUAGACGAAAAGUGAAAAAGAUUAAAAAGGGAUAAUUGGAAUAUUUGGUGGGGUAGAGAAAUAAACGGUUCAUUAGAAUUGCUAGUUCCUGGUUAAUAUAGAUCUGAGCAAGACGGUUCGUUUUAUCCUGUUUCUGUUUCACGUAUGGCACCAUGCAAAGCCAUAAGCAGAAGAAUUAAAUUAAUUUUGAUUUAAGGAACUGUAUGAAUUAAGAGUUAAUUAUGAAUUAAUCAAGUUCAUCGUCAGAAUCUCCAUCAUCUCCAUUCUCUUCAUCUGCUUCAUCAUCACUGCAAGUAUUUUUAUUAUCAAACCAAUGCAAAAAAAAAAAAAAAAAAUCUAAAGGAGAACUAAAAAGGGUUUGUUUUUUAAAAAAUGAAAAAUAGAAAUGAAAAUAGUUAUGUUUAGAAGGCAAAAAGAGCAAUUCAAGGUCAGGCAAGAUGCAGAGCCUACGCAUAUGAUUUGGCCGCUGCUGCUCUUGACGAGACCUCUCCUCGUCAGUUACCAAUGGCUUAGCCAUAAAUAAAACGGAAAAUGUAAUAGACCCAACUAACUAGAAGAGAGAGGCUUAUCUGAGCAGUGAGUGGUGCACAACUGGAGAAGGUUGCUUGCUUUUACAGGAGAAGAGAAACGUUGGGCUUCGGCAAGUGUUUGCUAUGCAGGGAAAAUUUCACAUUCGACCUGUAAUUUUGCCACUUUUGCUUGAAGCCACUCUAGAACUUUGAAGUCAUUUGGCAGAGUUCUUUACUUUGAGGGCAUUUUGGACAGAGAACAUCGAUUUUAGAAACAAUAUGGUAUAUUCUAAAAUCAUCAGCAACAGCAAAGUUCAUUUCAGAAAAAAAUAAUAAUAAAUCAUCGGCAAAGUUAUAAGAUGUUCCUAAUAGAAGAAAUAAAUAAAUAAUAUUAUGUUAUAUAUGUCAUGGAUUGAGAUUCAACUUUUAAAUUCAUGCGACUUGAGGACUUGGGUAUACAUUCAUCUGACAUCCUAAAUCAAUCUAAAGUCGAUAUGAGGUAUUAUCUAUUUUAAUCCCAUUUUAAUUUUAUAGUUUUGUUCCAUAAAAAAAAUCUUAUAAAAGAAAAGUGUUGUAAACCUUUUUAUAUCUCAGUAACCCUAUUUUCAUGUCUGAUAUGGGAUUAGAAUACCCUAUCUCCCUCUACCCAAUUUCGUGAAGCUUUCGUUACGGAGACUGACCACCCUACCUAUCUUUUUCGAGGCUCUUGGGUCGAACAGAUUAUGACCUGUUCUGAUACUAUUUAUUAUAGAUUGAGACUCAACCUCAAAGUUCGUUUGAUUCCAAAACCCAGACAUACACUCAUUCGAUAUCCCAAAUCAAUUUAAUUGUCAUGGUUCACACUUUUUUUACUUUAAUCUUAUUUUGAUUUCAAAGUUUUAUCUCAUAAAAGAUAUCUUAUAAAAAAAAAAAGUGAUGUGAACUUUUUUAUAUCUCAAUAACUUUUUUUUCAUGUAUGAUAUGAGAUUAAAAUACUUUAUUUACUCUCUUUUGAAGUGCUUAGCAUGACAUAUACACAUUUUAAAAGAGCAUUAUUUAUUGAACUUCUAAACGAAAAUAAGUUUAGGGUAUUCUAAGCUUUCUUUUCUCUUUCCGUACUAGUAUUUCUUAGCGAUUGACGAUCGAUUUCUUUCAAAAUUAAUACAAAUUAUUUUCUUUAUUUAUAUUUAGUUCUUAAAUUUACACGUGUUUGUGAAGAUCAAUCAUAUAAUUUAUAUAAAUUAUCCAAUUUGAAAGACUCGCUUUUAUCAUUCUCUUUAUAAUAAGUCUUUGAUAACCAUCAAUAAGAAAGUUGGAAUAAACGAGAGAACAUUUGUUAUACUAAAACUUUUACUCUCUCCAAUCCAAUUGAACAUUAAAUUAUUGUUGUCUUUUUAUGAUUAUUGUGUAACAUAAUACGAUAUUAAAACCUUUUUUUAUAUGUUAACCGUUAAAAUCGGUUAAAUACAAUUUUCAAUUAUUUUAUAUUCAAAAAAAUUAUUUGUAUCGUUUUGAGUAUUUUAUUAUUAUAUUAUAUUAUGACAUUUGAAUUAUUUUCUAUACAUUCUAAAAAAAUGAUAAUUACAAUCCUUCCACUGUAAAUGAACAGAAGAUUAAUGUAUGAUUUUUUUCGAUCCUAACUUUAUUUUAGCUUAAAUUUGAAUAUUCCUUUUUUGGAAAAGAAAUUAAAGCCCUCUAAUGUUUUCGGGAGGUCCAAAAUAAUUUGCUAUGUUCUUAUCCUACUAAUCAGUCAUUAACCAUGAAUUGAUUUAAAAUCCAGACAACUAAGUUAAUCUUUCAUAACUGCAUCACAUGUCAUUACCUUUUAAACAAAUACUCAGUCGAUAAUUAUGGUUCAAAUUUUAAUUUUAAUUGAUGGGGCAGAAAAUGGUUAUUUUGAAGGAGGCCAUUAAUAGUAUCUUUUAGGGCAAAAGCUAGGAAUUAAUCUUAAGGUUUAUUAUUGAUUAUCUUCACUCUAAUUUUCUGACCAUUAGUUUAAUUUAGGUAGAGAAAAGAGUUUGGUCCACUAGUUUUUAUAUGCUAUAGUCUUUAUAUUUUAGAUUUUUGUAAAAGAGUUUGAACCGAGCCUCCAAAAAGUGCACCCAUGGAUAAAUGGCUUAAGAAGAAUGAAUAAUAAAAGAUAAAAAAUAAGUAAAUUUUAUGAGAGAAAUUAUAAUCAUUAACAAUCAAUAUCGCCAUUAAAUUAAUAAAUUUUUAAUCUUUAUCUUUUUCCAUCAUUUCUAUCAAGUAAAAUUAAUCUUAAUUUCUUAAUCUUGACAUUCAUUCAAACAAUGUUAAUUCUAGCUUCGUUAUUAUACCUAAUUUAUUUAGAUUUGUCAUGUAAUUAAAGGUAAAUUUAGUUUUAUUAAUAUUUCUUUUCUUCAAAUUUAGCAUAUCAUUUCUUGAUUAGAAGGUUUUAAUUAUCUCAAUGGUAAAAAAGAAAUUAGAACCUUUUUAAACUUUUAGGUUUAAAUCUCAUCUUAUUAGAUUAUAAAUGUGGAAAUCAAUCACAAUGUGGCUCUAAAUAUUAUGGUUGAUAUGUAUUAUAUGCAUUCGUAUAUGGUUGUCUUGAUUUUUAUUUUUUAAGAACCAAUGUGAUGGAAAUGAUUUAAUUGAGAGAACAAAUGUGUAUUUAACCCAUUUAUUUAACUAUUUUCAUAUGAUUUAAUCAAUGCAUUUGAACAUGCAGAAAAUUAGAUUUUUAUUGACAUUUUUUUAAUCAUUUAACACCCGGCCAUUAACCAUAUCUUUAUUAAUAAUAUUGAAAAAUAGAAAGAAGGAUUUUAUUUUAUAUAGGUUUUAUAUUUGAUAUUAUUAAUGAGUCAAACGAUAUCAAUUCAUUAAUAAAUAAAUAUUAACCUUUAAAAUAAUAUAUAAAAAAUUAAUUUUAAAAAAUUAUUAAUUAAUGAAGUGACAUCAUCCGAUUCAGCGAUAAUUUUUAGAAUGUGACAAUAUACUAAAUAUAAACUUAUUUAUAUAACCGUAUAUAACGAUUAUUUAUUUUCAAUUUACCCUAUAAUAAUUGAAUAAAUUAAAGCACACAUUAACAAAUAUACGUGGCAGCAAAUUGAUGCAAUAACCUUGCAAUGAUUUUUUUCCUUCCAUUUUGAUGUUUGAAAAUUUUAACUAGAAACGUUAUAAUAAAAAGAACUAAUAUAUUAUUAUGUAUAUAAUAGAAUAAUGUUUUGAGUUGAAUUGAGCUUAGUAUUGGUAGUAAAAUUUAAAAAUUAAAGGCAAAAAAGAUAGGAGUAAAUAUGCAAUUGAAACAAACCCUUUUAGAUUUAAUAGUUUUGUUUUCUUUCUUUUUUACAAAGGAGUUGACAAUUUAAAGAUAAGAACAAAAAAGAUGUAAAUACCGAAUUUAAAUUUUAGACAUGAUAGAUGAAACUUAAGAAAUGAUUACAUGAAUCAAUUAAAUAAAUCUCGAAUUCAAUUUUUUUCAUCAAAUAAUUAUUCUACCAACUGUUAUAUUAUCUUAAUGAAUGAAAAAAUUUUCAAUUAUAUAUCUAGAAAAUAUAAUAUGCAAAAUAUAUUUAAGAAAAAAAAUUGGUGUGUUCAAUGGUACAUUUACAUAGGAUGCUUCUAUCUCAAGGAAGCUUAGCCUAGGUUUAGAAUAUUACAACAGGAAUUAAGGUGAAGUCGUUUUAGGUUAGCACAUCAAGGGAAUGGAACCAAGGCAUUGCGUCAUUGCCCAUUGAGUUGAGGAACUCUGUUCUCAUUAUAAUUUGACCCUUCAUUGUCUGCUCUCUGACCAUGUGAACUACUGUUCCCUGGAAUUUCCAUCCGCUGAUCAUUUGGCAUCAUUUCUGGCAUUUCCUGACCCACCAUACCAUGCUGCUAAUUCCAACAAAUAUAAUUAGAUAUUGAUAAGUUGAAGUAUUUAUAUAUUAAGGAGCUUUUCACAUGAUCUGUAUUUGGCAAGAAAUUAAUGAACAUUUAGCAAUUAGAAAGGAAACCUGAAGAUGGGCAUAUAAGGUUUGUGGCAGGGGGCUGGAUUGUAGCCCUGUAGAAGCAAAAGGCUGAGGCCAGAGUGGGAAAUUUUCGCCACUUGGAUUUGAGACAUGGCACUGAUCUCCUAUGCUGUGUGGAUCCACGUUUGAGAUGCUUCCUUGCAGCAAUGGAUCGUAGACAGUAGAUGAAAGAUCCCUAAAUUUAUUACAAGAUAUACUGAUAAGUAUAGUAUACAAAUUGGGAUGUGGGUUUACUUCUUAUUCCAGACUCAAAUAAAAGCAAGAAUAACAGAAUUAGAACUGAAAAUGCACUGUACCUGAGAGGAUUUAAAGAUGCUGAAGCAUCAAAGAUUUGUGAUUGGUUUUGACCACUAUCAGGCAGCCAAUUCACAACCUCAUUCUCGAAAGAUGGAGGCAGUCCUUGCUGUCAAAUUCAAUCCAAUAAAAUUCAUAAUUUUCACAUUGUUGAUUUCAAGUCUGAAAUUUGAAGUUACCAAAGUUUUCAUUUGUUUUACCGCGAGAAAAAUUACCUGUAUAGGAGAUGGAUCAUAAGAAGAUAAAUGGUUGCUCAGUAUGUAUUCCUGUAAAGCAAAGGUACGGGGAUUUCGUAUAGAAAACAGAAAGAAGAAAAUUUUACGGAAACUAAAAAAUAAUAAUAAAGUGAAAUUCCAACCUUUCUUUGCACAACAUUUGCUAAUGUUUCAACAAGAUGUUUCUCACAGGAUUCAAGCUCCCCCAUGGAUGUGAACCUGAGAGGGUCAGGUUCAUAUGCCCUGUAUUUGAAGAAUCGGUAACUUAACCCAAACUUGAUAUGUUAAUCUUCUUCAGUUCUGUUUUUAGUUGUAGGUUUUUUUUUUUAAAAAAAAAACUCUGAAAUACCUUAACUGUUCCUCUGCCAUUUGAAGCUGUUGCUGUAACCUAACAAUUUCCUGUUGGAUUUCCUGCAAUGAAAACAUUAACAAACAUAAAUAAAAAUAAUAAAAAAAAAACAUAGAAGAAAACACACAUUAAGAUUAUAAGAGACAGAAAUGUUUAUGAUACCUUAAAAUCAGAGUUACAAGAUGUUGGACUGUUUUGGGGAACAAAUCCAAGAAAAGAAAAGAAAAACUUUUCUCCAUUAGAUAAUUUAAUUAAAAAAAAUCCUACAAAUAAAAAAUUAAUGGAAAUUAACUCAAAGAUAGAGAGAAGAAGGCAGACAAACUUGGCAAGUUGAAGAGCAAUAUCAUUUUCACUUCUUAGCUGCUGGAGAAUCCUGAGCAAAUACUGCAUAAAUACAAAAUACAAGAAUUCCAUGAAGAGACAUUUCAUAAUUUUCAUUUUCAUGGAACAUAUUAUCUUUCUCCAUGCAUUUCCCUCCUUUUUCUCCCCUCUCUUAAAUUUUUUUUCUAUAAAAGCAGAUGAAGAAAAUUUGACACCAUAUUAUAAGGUGAGUCAUUUUCUUACCUCUUUGUUUUGGAUGUCACUGCGACAGAAACAUUGAAUAAGUAUUAUAAGGUGAGUCAUUUUCAUAAAAAAAAACAGUGAAUUACUAGUUUUAAGAAAAAAUUGAACUGAAAGAAAAAAGGGUUUUAAGGACAUACGGAUGUCUGAUUUGUUCAGGAAAAUUAGAGCACUGCAACAGAUAAAUUGAUGGAGAUGUUACCAAAUCAACAUGUCAAAUGGAAAACAACCAGCAGAAUAAGUAUAAUACUAUAAAAUGGUUAAGAGCAUUACUGUUCCCUUUCUCGAUCUGGGAGAUUAAUGUAUCGCGUAAAGACAUCCUCGAUCCUGGUUUUGAUGGAAAAGGUUAAAGACUUGUACUAAUUUUCCUUGGGAAAAAAAAUUUUCUACAUGCUUAUAGUUCAACAAAUUUGAAAACGGAAAACAUGAAAAAUGUAAGCUAACAUGAGCUACUACUUUCUAUCCUAUCUUUGAGAAGACAAGGUGUUCAAUAGUGCAGUCAAAGGUCCUACUUACAGGCUUUUAACAGUUAAAAGUUAUGUGAAAAAAAAGCUAAUUAAUUGAGUUUAUUAGAGCAUCAGCAUGCAUGAAUUUUUUCUCACAUGCACUUAGCCUCAAGUGGAUUGAGAAAUUUUUUUUUUUAUAAAAGAGGUCGCAACAUAUGAAUAAAAAAUAAUAAAUCAUGAGAUUUAAAAUAAAAUUGUUGGAUUUCAUCUUUUAAAAAUGAUUCAUGAAUUAAUUAAUUGAAAUCUUGUUCCAUUGGGAUUAUUUUCAAUACUAAUAGUUAAUGUUAUUGUUUUGGAAAGCAAAUAUGUGUAGGUGAGUUUGUCUCUGCUAAUUAAUUAGAACUCAACUACAAGCAAUUCAGGCGUUCAUUAACUUUUUUUUAAAAAAUAAUUAAUGAAGGAAAAGAAGUAUUAUUUGUUGUAGUGCAUUGUCUAUAUUUCUUAAAAAAAUCGCAAUAUCUAAUUUAACAAAUAACUAAAAAAAAUGGAAUUACUUGAUAAUAGUAUUUCAUGAAUUGGUGUGGAGAUCAUUCAAAUAUUAUUGAAGAGUAAUCAUUUUCAAGAAAAUCUAGCGAAGUAUAUAUAGUUAUAAAUAAACAAAAAUUUGUGGAACAUGAAGAAAUGGUAAUAGCCAACAUAUCUGAUAGAACAUGAAGAAGGCAGGAUAAGAGCAAUAUCAAUGUCACCUUCUCCCGCCAGAAAAAUGGCUAAUUCGGCCUGAAGGAGAGAACAUGAUAAGAGCAAUAUCAAUGUCACAAAGGAUGGAAAGUUCAUAAGCCUUCUUAAUCAACCCAUUCCUACGCUUGGAAAAGGUAACCUGCCGAUUGGUGUUGUUUUCUAUUCUCUUAAUCUCCAGUUUAACACGCCCCAUCUCUUGAUCUUCUGUCACCUAAAUAUUUUAUAUGUAAAAAUGGAAAAAAAAAUUUUUUUUUUUUUGAAAAUUUGGAAUCAAAAGACACUCUAGUUUUAUUAUUUUUAGAACAAGAAAAUCUAAGAGAUGAUGAAUUGCUAUUUGCCUAUAUAUUGUCAAUGCAUGGACAAGAGAUGCCUGAAAAGAAGGGUGUGGUUAGAUGUGUGAGAGAAAGAGAGAGGGAGGGGGAAAUGGUUAAAAAUGGAUGGGAGAGGAGAGAUUUAAGAGUGAGAUAUUAAAGGAUUUAUAGAGAGGGAAGGGGUCAUAGAUUGAAAGGAAAUAAUUCAAUGGCUGAUUAAAAGGUGGCACAUUUUUUUUCCGCUUUGCAAUGAUUAACCUUAGUGUUUGAGGUUGUUGGUCACGGCGAAUUUUGGUGUUAUUCAGCCUUUAUAAUAUAUAAACCAUGUUCGUGCAUGUCAAUGUUCAUGUCAUGCCUCUAGUCUUAAAAUCAUUCGUCUUAUAAUCUUCAAUUUCUUAAUCUAGUGAUUAAAGAUCAUGUUUAGUUCACAAAAUUACAAUAAGAUAAGAUUAAAUAAUAUUAUUUUAUUUUAUAUUUGAUGUAUAUAAAAAUUAAAAUAUACUAAUUUAUUUAUUUGUCAAAAUUAUUUUUAUUUAAAGUUUAUAUAAUUUAAAUUAUUGAUAUAAUUUUUAAGGGUAUACUUGAACAUAUAAAUUUAAUCUUAUAGAUUAAAAAUAAUCUUCUCUACUUUGAGAGAAAUGAAUAAUUCUAUGCAAAGAGAAUAUUAAUUCUCCUUACAAUUUUUAUCUCUUUCUUUAGAUAUAAAUCGAAUAUAAUAUAAAAUAAUUAUUAUUUUAUUUUAUUAAUAAUAUUAUAUAUCAAAUAUGACCCAAAAAAAAAAAAAAGACUUGUAAUGGCUUUCGUCUUCCUAAAACCCAACGAUAAGUAUUUUGCACUUUGGCCCAACGAAGAUGAAUGGGCGUAUCAGCUUAAAAGCACAGUUUAAUCCAACACUAGGAAUUAAUGAUUCCCCGCUUUCCGUUGAGUCAAUUUUUUUUUAAUUCGUUUGCAAAAAAUUAAUAUUAAAUUAAAUUAUAUGAUAAAAAUAAUAAUUUUCAUUCAAAAAAUUUAAACACAAAUACCCAUUUUUAAAAUUGUUAGGAACAAAUUUAAAGCCCAGUCCAAAAGCUCAAAAACUGAUACACAUCCCAUAUCCAUCAUACUAUUAAGUCCAAAUUCAGCCCAAAUAUUAACACUGAACCAAUCACAAUCUGCCAAAUGUCAAUCUCCUAAUUGCCAGUUGGCAGCAAAAAGCAUGCAAGGGAUUGUUUCCAUGUUAUGGUAUUGAUUGAUUGGUUAAUAUAAUUGAUUCUUACUUUAUAUCCCUUGAAUAACAUAAAAAAAAAAAAUUUUAUGGUAAAAUGGGUUAAAGGUAGUGCAUUUGGUAAAAGAAAAGCUCUAUUCAAGAAUAACUAUCUUAUAAAAAAAAAUAAAUCAUUCUACAUGCUAUAUAACCAUAUAUAAUAAGGUUUUAUCUAAGGAUUCAAUGAUGUUUUAGGGGCCCAAGUGAACAAUGACAGGUGAGUUGAACCCAUCCAAUGAUCCAAAUGAAGCAUAAAGCUACAAAAUUAUUUCUGCAAAAACCAUUAACACUUCUCUAUAAGUUAAAAAUUUCAAACCAUUAACCGAGAAUUUAAAAAAAAAAAAAAAGUAUUUCAAGUCUUAAACACAUGCAGAUGCAGCAUUGUGCUCAAGCAGCAACUAACUUUGUGGAAUCUCAUGACAUUCAUUAUUUAAUUACUGUUUAGUAUAACAGUCAUAUGGUUACAAAUUCAACCUAUUACUCAAUAAGUCGGUGAAAUUUAAUACUAUAUCCUUAGUAUAUCCCGCGACAAGGAGCAGUAAAAUAUUUUGGAUAUGACCGGAUGGAGGUGAAUUUAUGAAUCUCAAAAUUGUCAACCUGGUCGGUCCUGAAAUUCAUUCCUUGUGCUUGAAUUCCGGUGUUCUAGGAGGCAAUUGGGCUACGGUUAAUUUAUAAUAUUCUUUGGGGAAAUUCCUAAUCCUGCUUGCUUUUCAGCUUUUAUCUCUUUAGAAAUUUAUCCGUAUGUGUAAUAAUUUUUAAGAGAUGAUACGUGCUCUUCAAGUUACCCAACCUAAUUCCACUACGAAUUACUAUUAAAUGCAAUGCAUAGAAGUCAUUUUAUCUAUUUUUUUUUUACAUCGUGAGAGUAAAAUUUUAAUAUAAAUAAGAGAAAGAGAGAAGAUUUGAUUCAAAAUAAAGUUUUUGAUAUCCCCUUAAAUAUUUUAAUCACUAUAAUUUUUACAUAAGACUGGAAACUUGGUGUGAUAACAUGACAGUUUAUUAAAAUACAAAUAUAAUUUGCAAAUAGAAGAACAUCAAUUACCAACUUAGUUAAUAAAUUUCAUUUCAGAUUUAUUAUGUAUAGAAAUUAAUGAAAUCUUACUUGAUUAGAAUUGAGUUAGCGAAGUUCUUAAGUACUAUUAUAUACGAUAUGAUGUUUAAGCAGUUAAAACUUAAGAUUUCAAUUAGUAGAUAUUACAUUAAAUUGAAGUAUUUAUAAGAUAAAAGAAGAUUAUAUCGCAAACUCAAAUGGUCUCUAUAUGUGUACCAAAAUUAAUUGAUUAAAUCUCAUCUUUAAAGGAAAAUUUUUGAGAACCUACGCAAAGUUUUGAAAUAACUUUUAUAAGGAUAUGCCUAAAGUGGAAUGGUGGAAAUGGGUUUUAAAUAGAAACACGAAAUAUAUGACUUAAUUUGUACUUGCCACUUGCACAAAAAGAAGCGUAUAAUUGAACAUCUCCUUAUAAUUAGCAAUUAUACUUACAUAUUCACGUGUUUUAAUUAUCAAUUUAAAAAAAAAAAAAACUAUAAAUUUUUUGGUACACUAAAAAUCUUUCAAAUUAUGCAAUUGAAAUAGAAUAAUCCGUUUCCUCUAAAAAAAUUAGGGAUGAAUGUGUCACUCUUUUUGAAAGAAAUAAAGAACUUAGUAUUAUAUUCAUAAUAUAUAAAAUAUAUGUAUUAAAAAAUUUAGACUUUCGUUGCCAACAAUCUAAUGAAUUAUUUAAAAUUUAAUUUUUAGCCAAAAUAAAAAAACAAAAAGAAAAAUUUCAUAAUUAAUUACAUGCAAUAUAUAUCGAAUAGUAAUGGAUCAAAGAAAGGUUAUUUAUAUUAUUAUCUAAGUAUACCAUAUUUCUGCAAACAGGAUAUGAAAAUAGCAAAUAACCAAUAAAGAAAACCUAUUUCGUAAAUCCCAGUGUGGUUUCCAUAAUCAAAUCUUGCCAGCUUUGCCAAACAUGUCCGGCUCCAAUUUAUUUUCUCAUAAUUCUUCCUUAUUGGUGAAUGAUAAGUUUCAAUGAACAGGGGAAAAAAAACUAGAAAAAAAAAAAAACCUGUUGCCCUCGUGCAAAAGGAUAAGCACACAGAGGCAUCAAAUAAACAGCAAGAUUAUGUUGCAAAUGUUGUAAAACUGUACAAUCCUCUAAUUAUUAUUAUUAUUAGUAUUAUUAUUAUUAUUAUUAAUUUCUUCUUGUUUACAUGAUGGAGCAAGCAUUAGGGUUUUCAUCACUGAACAUGUUGGUGUAGCUGUCGUCCAUGAUGGUUUCAGUGAUGGUGGAAGUGACAGGAACCGCCCUGACAUGAUUGGGAGGUGCCUUCUUGUCAUAAGCUUGAGCCACGUAAGGAUUCGCCACCAUAGUGUACGGCACAUAAGGCCACAACUCCACCUUCUUCUUCGUCGACUGAGCCGCGGCCAGGACUUUCUUUGCCUCCACGUUACCCGUCACGGUUGCUUUUUGUUGCUUCAAGUCCACCUCCACAGACUUAGCCCCUAUAAAAAAAUUUUUGAAAACUUCCAAGCAAAACAUAAAAAAAAUUUUACUAUAUUUAGUUUGAGUUCAAGAAAUUCGAACCCAAACUAUCAUUGGACUAAACAUUUUUGUUCAUCAAUCAUAUGAUAUAAGUGAUAGUUUGGUUUAUUACCUUUUACUCCGGAGAGGACUUUCUUGACCUUACGGGCACAACCUUCACAGUCCAUCCUGAUUUUAAGAGCUACAGUUUGAGUUUGCUUCUUCUUUUUCUUCUUCACGACGCUAAGCAAAUCAGAGAUGUAUUCCAAGGUGCCAUCGACUCCCAUUUUGAGUUGACUUUGAGAAGGCAAGGGUCGGAAGGGUUUGAAUGAUUUUGAUCCAAAGAACUAAGAUAGGUCUGUCUUAGGUUGAAGAAAAUGACUACUUCACACUUGUUUCGUCUCAAAUGGACAUAAAAUAAAUGCAAAGAGAGAAGCGUAAAGGCUAGGGCGGAAGUAAGAAGCUACUCACUCUUGGUCGUCAUGGCCAUGGCUAGCUUGUAUGGAUUUAUAGUGUCAAGCGUGACAAAAGUAAAAGGCUUUAAAAGAUAAGUUAAAAAAAAAUCUUAAUAUAAUUAGGGGAAUUUUGCUUUAAUUUUACUAGUAUAAGAUAUUGGAAAGGGGGUUCUUCUUAGAAACUCCAUGAAAUUUCCUUUGGGACACACAUCAGAUUCUCUCUCCCUUCCGUUGACUCUUUGCUCUUAUAGAGGAACAUACACAAAAGUGAAAUGCUUCAAAUGUCUUCUCUUUAACGUUCACCGUUUAGUUGAUUUUAUUAUAUAUAUAUAUAUAUAUAUAUUUAUAUAGGAUCAAAAAUCAAAUCCUUAAUAGUAAACCUCUUCUUUUAUCGGCCAUAUCUCGUUACGUUUUCUGAGAAACAGGUGUGUGAAAGCCUGAAAAUGGAUUAAAGGGGUUCAAGUAAAUGUUUGAUUUGUCUCCAAAAUGGGUUAUUAAUUAAGAAGAGAGUAAACCAGUAAACGUUUUUUAUUUGAAAUUAAAAGGAUUUAAACUUUAACUACUAAUAAUAAAAGUUUCACACUUUAUCGAUAAACAUUUUUAUUAAAGAGACCAACCACUAAAGCUAGAAAGAGAUGCAUCAAAAGUUGAAAAAAAAAAGAUUAAGAAAAAUUUUAGGUGUUUAAUUUUUCAACGAAAUUAAAUUUUUUAAUGCUCAAGAUAUGGGUUUGUGACAGCUGCCAAUUGUGAGAAGAUCUGGAGUGACAAGUGGACUUAGAAGAUUCCUAGGGGAUGAUCCAUGGCCACGUUGCAGAGAAAUUACACAAUCCGGUCACUAGCAAUUGUCCACUUAUGAAAUUGCAUGGUUGAUUGGGGGUUUGAUUGGGCGGUGGGAUUGUAGAAAAAAUAGUCAACAACUAAGCGUAAAAGGAUAAAAAACAUAAAGGAAAGAAUAAACAAAACUGAAAAUGGAUUUCACUGUCCUCUCACAUGGCAGCGAGCUUUGAAGGGUGAGCAUUUAAAUUACUACCUUUCUUAAUCCAACUCUAAAGCGAAAAAGCUCCCCCUCCGUGUGAAAAUGAAGGCGUCCAUACAUUUCCUAUAAUUUUUUAAACGAAUUAUGGAGUAGCAUUAUCCUGAUCAAUUUCUUCCUUUCGAAGUUGUUGGGAUAAGGCCCAGAUUGUCAUGCAAUUUCAAUCAGUAAACCAUGGCCAUAAAUUCGAGUUCUUGAAAGUGAAGUUGUCUCCCAAGGUCACUAAAUUAUUAUUGUUAAUCCUUAGCCUGUUAACCAGUAGCAUAUCUGCAUCUUGCGAGGAAGCUUUCCUCACUUAAUGGUGCAAAAUUUUGUUUUAUGUACUUUAUGUUAGAUAAUACUUUUAAGAAAAUAAGGUACUCUCAUAUAAUUGGGUAUGAACUAAUCAAAUCAAAAGAUUAUAGGCUUUGGUCUUUUUUUUUUUUUUUACACGAAACCUUAGUUACUUAAUAAAAAAAAAUUAUUUUAAAUUGAUGUCGUAAACCAAGAAAAAAAAACCAAAAAAAUAGAGAAAAAAUAAAAAAAAAGAAUUAGUUGAAUGAAAGUCAAUGCGUGAUUGAUUGAGCUGAAAUUUUAUCAGUAGGUUUAUAAUUCAAAGUUCUACAUUCUAAACAGUGAAGAUCAUGUUUGAAGCUCUCUAAGAAUAAAUUUAGUGUGUAUUUAUUGAGUCGCUUAUUUAGUGAAAUUUUUUCGAUUGUCUCUCUUUAGUUGUUGAUUAGCUUUAGUUUUAGUUAGAGAAGAACUUUUUAUAUCUAUUAUUUGAUAGUGAAGUUUUUUCUGGUGGUCCGUGAUUUUUUUCUUUACACUGAAAGAUUUUUCACAAAAAUCUUAGUGUGCUUUUAUUUUUUUUGUAUUUUUUAUUGUUGAUUAUUAUCUAUUGUUGUGGGUUUAUUGCAAUAUAUUGCUUCUACAUUGUUGUGUUUAUUGCUUCAGGUCUAACAAAUGGUAUCAGAGCUAAGGUUACGGUAAGUUUGAGUCCCAAUGGUGUUGCUGGGGGGAGAUUGUUGGCAGACUAGAGGUUGACCACAUCCAUCAACUCCAUGUGCUCAAACAUCGGUAUUAAAAAGUUCGACUUAGAUGUAGCAAGUCUAUGAUAAUAUAUAUAAAGCAAAACAUCCAAGUGGACGAUGUUGAGUCAACCUAGAAUGUAAGUUAAUGGAUCACUAAGACAAACCGGGCAACUAGAUUGAAUGUUGGAACUUGGCCUAAAAGCACACUAAAAAUGUGAGGUUGCUUGACCCAAAGGAGGAGGUUGCCUAGCCCAAAUGAGGUGUUGAUAGGACUUACUCGCAUGGAAGAACCGAUGUGAGACUUGAUUAGAACUCACAAGUGAACGAGAGAAAUUGUUGGGAUAUGGUUCAUAUGUGAGUAAAAAAUUUCACAUCAUUAGAAAAUCUAAAUGAGAUGACCUAUAUAUGCAUGAAGAACCCAAGAACCUAAUAGCUUAAGCUUUUGAGCUCAAGCGGUGUUCAAUAUGUAUGUAUGAACAUUCUGGUAUACUCUCAUAGGCUCUAAGUGUGGUUAUCUCUCUAACAGAUUGCUUCGCUUACUGAAAAUUGAUUGCAUCUAGCUCAUCAUUAAUUGUGGCUGAUUUAUUCAUAUCCUUAAGUUUUAUUUUUUGCUCAUUUUCAUCAUCUGUGGCUUUUUCUUGUGAAACCUUUGUCGGUUUUACAACAUCACACUCAACAGUAAUCCGUGUAGUUUUCUUAUUUUUUUUAAGGCCUGUUAUGUUUUUUUCAUGAAAGAUCAUAUCUUUGCUUCUGAUUAUCUUUUUUUUCACUGGAUUCCUAUACUCUGUAACCAAAUUCUUAUCAUCAUAUCCUAUAAAUACACACUAUGUAGCUUUACUAUCAAGCUUUGACCUCUACUCUUUCGGCACAUGCAUGAAUGCUUUAUACCUAAAAAUUUUUAAAUGAGAGUAUAAACCAUCUUUUCUUAUCCACACUCUUUUUGGAAUGUUAAAGCCCAAAGAACUGAUGGUGAUUUGUUAAACAAAUAACAAGUUAUGUAGAUUGCUUCACCCCAGAAUAGCUUUGGUAAUUUUGUCAUCCUUAACAAAUAUCUAAUUUUUUUUCAUAAUGGUACAGUUUAUCCUUUCAGCUACACUAUUAUGCUAUGGUGUUUCAAGUUCUGUCAUCUCAUACUUUAAACAGUACUCUUUAAAGCUUUGGAUGUGUAUUUCCAUUAUUAUCAAUCUGAAUACACUUUAAGGGUAAUCCUGUCAUCAUUUUCAUCAUGGCAUAAAAUUUUUAAAAAUACUAUAAUACAUGGCUUUUAUUUUUCAAUAUAUACAUCUAAGUCUUACGUGAAGCAUCAUCAAUAAAAAUAAUAAAAUAUCUAUUAUUACCUAAUGAGUCAAUCUCAAUGGGAUCACAUACGUUUGAAUAAAUUAAUUCUAUUUUUUUCCUCUGAGAACUCUUACGAAAAGAAACUCCACAAUACUUACCAAACAAACAAUGAUCACAUGAAUCGAGAGACAUAUUUUUAGUCAAGAGAAUAAAAGACUGUCUUGCUAAAACUUUUAACCCUUUCUCACUCAUGUGUGCUAGUCUCAUGUACCACAAGUUUGUUGAAACAUCAUCUUCAACGAUAUUUAUCUGGUUAUCGUUUAAUUGCAUCCAAUGUCUUAUACAUUGUGCAACAUAGUUUUUCUUUUACAACUAUCAUAGAUCCUUUGAGAAGCUUUCACUGCCCAUUUUUUAAUUGACUAUCAUCUCUUUCCUUAUCAAGGAUAUUAAUAGUAAGUAAGUUCAUUCUCAUAUUCGAAAUGUAUUGACAUCUCUCAAAGUCAACAUACAGUCCAUACUAGUUUGUACAACAAUAUCAUCAAUCUUAACAAUCUGUGACACAUUCUUGUUUUUCAUCUUGGUGCAACCAAAAUUUCUUACUUUGUAAGUUAUAAACAAGUCGCUCUUAGGAACAUAAUGAUAUGCUUCUCUUGUGUCAACUAUCCACUCAAUGUUGAGAUCACCAACAUGAUUACAAUCACUAUGUGUAUAAAUUAAAGUAACUGAAUCACUAUUUGAAUUUAUUGUUGUAACAUUGCUAUCAUUUGAACUCUUAUCUUUCUCAUCUUUUCGUUCUUGCUUUAAAAUUUUACAGUGUUGUUUUAUAUGACUUGCUUUACCAUAAUGAAAACAUUUCAUUUUAUCUUUGGACAUGGAUCUAUGUUUAGACUUACUACAAUAUUUUGAGUUCUGAUCUUUAUCAAUGUUUUCACCCCUAUUCUCUAUGACCAGAGCUUGAUUCUCAAGGUUUACAUCUUUUUGCCUUACUUCUUCAUUAAGCAUAUUAUCUUUUAUCAUCUUUAAUGUCACAUUGUAAUCAAGAGUUGAAUUAAGAACAGUCACAACUAGGGUAUUCCAGUUGUCUGACAAUGAACCAAAAAAAUAACGCCUUUAUUUCAUCAUCCAUUUUAAGUUUCAUAGUAGUCAUCCAAUUAAAUAUAUUUCAAAAAUCACUCAAAUGUUCUGUAAUAGAUCGUCCAUCCAUGUAUUGUAAAUUUACAAGCUUUUUAACAAGUAUAACUUUAUUCAUACCUAUUUUUCUCUCACACAAUGCUAUCAAAUUUUUCUCAAAUAGUGUGGGUAUCUGUCUCUUGCGUUACAUAUGGAAUACGCUGAUAUCAACCCAUUUUUUUUAUUAUAGCCAGCAUUUUUUUGCCUAACUUCUUCUAGCUUUUAUCUUUCAUAUCUGUUGAUUUAGUCGAAUCACCUAAUACCAGCUCAUACAAAUUUUUACAAUAUAAAUGAUCUUUCAUCAUAGAUUUUCAAAUUGAAUAAUUUGAUGCUGUCAAUUUUAUCAUGGAAUAUGUAUCACCCUAUAUGAUCUCAAACAAAAUUUACUUUUGUCUUAGUUUGCUUUUAUAUCGAUAUCUUAAAAUAAACUUUGUUCUGAUACUACUUGUUAAGGAGAUAAACCACAUUUAGAGCCUAUGAGAGCAUACCAGAAAGCUUAUACAUACAUAUUAGACAUCACUUGAGCCAAAAAACGUAAACUAUUAGGUUCUUGGGUUCUUCAUGCAUAUAUAAGAUAUCUUAUUCAGAUUUCUUAAUGAUGUAAGAUUUUUUACUCACAUGUGAACCAUAUUAGACAUCACUUGAGUCAAAAAACGUAAACUAUUAGGUUCUUGAGUUUUUCAUGCAUAUAUAAGAUAUCUCAUUCAGAUUUCUUAAUGAUGUAAGAAUUUUUACUCACAUGUGAACCAUAUCCCAACAAAUACAAGGCUCAAAAAAUAUAAAACAAUAUGUACUUCAUGUUUGAACUUGAGAUUUUCUUUUAGCCUUUCUUUUUUGCAAGUUGAAUAAAACAAAUGGAACUUUCAAUUACAAAUAAAAAUGGUUUCAAGAUAUGUUGCAAAUGUCAAUUUUCUUAAGAUUUAUUUUGUCUCUACCAAUUAUAAUUUGUAAAAGAGGUUGAAUAAAAUAGCAUUUAAGAUACAAUGAAAUCUAUGUUUGAUUUACUUUGCAUUAAAAAAACCAAAUCACUAAACACUCUUUGAUAAAAAAUGAAAAUAUUUUGUCUUUAACAAGAUUUUCUGUAGCAAAUAAUGUUAAAGACAAGAAGAAAAGUACAUUCAAAUUAUGUUAAAUAAACUCAUAACAAUUUCCAUUUAUAGGGAUUUAAUUUAAAGUUGUAAUUUUUAUUGAAAAGAUUUAUUUUUGAAUAAUUAAAGACAAAUUGGUUUAUUAAAUUGAUUGAUUUUUUUAUUCCAAGAUAAAUCAUUUUUUAUAUUUCAAGAAAUUAUAAUUUUUCUCGUAAAGCAAUCAACUCCACCAAGAAGGUAAUCGACUGCUCCUUUAUAAUUCCAAUUUCAAAAAUACUAUUCAAAACAGGGCAUUCGACUCCUCCUUAAAGCAAUAGAUUUUUUUCAAUUUUAAAAAAGUGUUUGACGCAUGAGCAAUUCACUGCUCCAUAUAGGAAUAAGCAAUUGAUUCCUUUUAAUUUUCAAAAAAGUUCCAAUUAUGAUUUCUUAUAGAGCAAUUGACUCCUUUUUGUUAAUAGUUGACUGUUAUAAUCUCAAACUAUUUUUUUAAAAAUUAUCAAAUAAUAACAAUAGUUUGUAUUAAAAUUUGAUUCGAUUUCACUGAUUUCUAACUAUAGCAGUUGAUUACUUAAAGAUGAUAAUUGAUUAUUAUUUUAUAUGAAAUCUAAGUUUAGCAUUUGUUUAUCAAAGUAACUGAAUUCGUACCAAUGACGAUCAACUACUUUUUUUAAGAAUCUAAAAUAAUUGAUUUUUUUAAGUAUGACAGUAGAUUAUUUGUAUGAUCAAUCUUUUACAUUGAUUCUCUUUAAAAUAAAAUCAUUUUUUUUGAAAUCAAACCUUUAUACAAUUCCUGUCUUGAUUAAGUGGAUGUAGUUAUUCAUGUCAUUUUGAUAUUAUUUGUAAAACUUUAAACAUCCCUUAGUAGUUUUCCUUGUGUUGAGAAGGUCAGGGAGAGCAUGUCCCUAGAACACAUGCCACCACCAAAGGCUAUCUAGAGGCCAAAAAAAAAAUAGUAUAAAAAUUAAUAUUUAAAAAUAUAAAAUAUAAAUCUUAAUAUCUAUUUAUUUUUAUUUCAACUUUAUAAAAAAAUCUUAAUCAUAUUUAUAAUGGGAUGACUUUCUAAGAUCCUAGGAGUCAAGAUUUUAAUGAAAAAAGCGAAAUUAAUAUAACAAGUACACGAUAUUACCAUUGUCUGUCAGAUGAAGCCAAAAUAAGUCCAAUUUUUCCCCAUAUUACCCCCAAUAAUUGAGAAAUGGUGGCCUUUCAUUUUGGUAUGAUGAACUAGAAGGACCCACACUGCAAGAAAAUUCAAUAAUUGAAAUGACAGUCUCAUAGAAGUCGAUAAUGAAAAAGGACAAAUUUUCUGUUUUUAUCCACACCUAUAAUCCAACCUUACCAUUUGUCUUUACAACUUUAUUUUCUUGGCAGCUUUUUCCACAAUUCCUUACCAUUUAAAAGCUCGAUUUUGUGGAGGAAGGACAGUAGCUCAGACAUGCUGAAGCUGACAUGAAAGAUUCAUAAUUUCAUUUCUCUUGUCUGAUUAUUACUCUGUUCCGGUUACCAAAGAAAAGAAAUGGGUCAGGGUUUCUGAUAGUGUUCUUCGGUGGUAACACCAUUUCAAAGUCACCAUGCUCAAUUUCCUUUUCUUUUCCUGCAUUAAUUUUGAUAAUUACACUAUGGGUUAUCCAUAGCCAGCUUUUUGGGAGUAAGUUUAAUGUUAAAAUCAAAGGGACCACAUCUGCUUUUGACAAGAAACAGAGUCGAUAAUGCCAACCUCAAAUUAUUAUUUCCUGUAUUAUCAAUCCGUGGUUAAAUUUGUAAGAAUUGAAUAGGUUUAAAUUCGAUUUUUGCUAUAAUAAUUUUUAAUAAUUUAUCUUAAUGAACAAUCUGUAAAUAUAAUAUAAAUUUUCUUUAAAAUCUACGAUUUGCCUAACCCUGGAAGAGUCGGCCCACAUCCUAAACUUUUUUUUUUUUUGACGAUUGUUUGGUCAUAUUUGGAGACAAAACAUGCUCCUGGACGAUUAUUAAAUACUCUAUUCAAAAGAAAAGAUUUUACAAGAUAUUAAAAACAACUCCCCAUAUCAUGGAUUAAAUUUACUAGAUUUUUUCAUUUUAAUACAACUUUAAACCUACAACCUCAACUAAAAACAAAUUCCAAAAAGACAAAGAUGGAUUGGAUCAGAAGAAUUUCGCAGCAAUUACGUGUACACUCAGCAUCAGUAAACUAAUACUAAUGAAAGCAAACAUAAGCCUGAAGUAGAUUUACCUGAACAAAAUAUUGCUCUUACUACCAACCCCGCUUGAUAAAUUUAAAAGAAGAAAAAAAAAAGUGAACAAUGUUCGCAAUUUGGUAAAGCUGACAAGAAUUGGGAGGAUUUACAAGAGAGAAAUACUAAUGGUUAAAGUAAACACCUUAGCAGUAGCAAUGAACUCAGUAGGCAAAGAACGGUGGGAAUUUGCAGUGGUGAAGCCACAGAAGGUUUUGUGGAAGCCCUUCCUGCAACUGUCGGAGCAACUGCUGGUGUAUUAUUGGUGCUCUGUUGCUCAUUGGUCGGCAGUUGUAUUGGAGAUUCACCAUUGGGAGAUGGCGUGAGAUGUUCGCUUGAUCUGUCACUCACAUCUUGACCUGCCGAUGCAAUUUGGGAUUACUUCAGGACAUAAUAAUGAAGUUGAACAAAGAACAUUUACUUGCUUCAGCAUAUUGAGAGCUUAAGAGGGAAAACUGUAGACAAACUCUAAUGUUGCUUCUUACCAGAAAAUAUGAUCAACACAUGAUUAUUGAGGAAAUAAUGUAAAAUAGGAAAGUAUAAAAAAUAUUAAAAUACAGGAAUCACAAAAAGCAAUGAUUUGCACUGCUCCUGUAUAAUUAAAGUUAUUGCUACCUUUAAAAUGUAACAUUAUACAGAAAUAUAUAUAUUUAUGUAUAUGUUUAUGUAUAUAAAUACAUGUAUAUGUAUCCACAAUUCAAGUCUGUUACUUAGCACCAUCAAUUUCUUAGAUGAAUGAAAAAUGUGGGAUCGUUACUGAUAUUUUACAAUGUCUGCCAUAAAUCCUAUUCCAACUUAAUUUUCCAGUAACAAAUAACACCUCUAAUAUGAAAUUUCUGUUCAAUAUUUUCUGAGACUGAGAUACGUUAAUAACCUUAAUGCAGAAAAUGACAAACAUCAUAAAAAUAAGUCACUUAGUAGUAGGCCACCAUUUUUUCCAAAUAAUAAAUUAAAUAGAUAUAACAUGGGCAUUACUCAUCAAUAAUCAGUUGUAGUACAAUUAAGUGCACGAUCCAUCCUGACUAGAACUGACUAUAACCCUCUAUUUUUAAUGCCAAAGAACAAGCCCCGCAAUCAUUUGUUUAUCCUGCAGAGAUUGGAGUGGGGCAUGGUACAAGUGGUUUACAAGCAAGAAAGGAUAUGAGGGCAGAGAAUUGAUCAGGAGUUUAUUCAUCAAUCAUUGGACGAGAAGAAGAAUGUAUUGCUCCACAAGAUGCUGCUUUGGUCAUUACAAGAGCUUUAGUAUCUUAAAAACUACAAGGGAGGGAAAGCCGAUUUCUCUUCCAGAACAUGAUUGAUGAAAUCUCACUAAUUUCAACUCUUAUGCCUAGUAACAAAGAAAUUCUUCAAUCUAGAUCUAGACAUGUAAACCCAAGAUAAACAAGAAGCCAUUAAAAAAGAAAAGGACAAAUGAAAUAGCUAAUAGAAAGGGUGGAAAGAUCUACUCUAUUACUUACAGUUGGAAUGUGACCAACCCAACUUCAGAUUUUCUCGAUCAAAAACAAUGCGAUGGCCUGUCAUGAAGUUUUCUGCAACACAUUUGUUGAUCCAGUGUCAUUAAAAAUACACACACAGAGGCAUGAAGAUAGCAAAGCCAUAAAGAAAUACAGGUGCAUAUGGAAAGACAGAGAGUAGACUCACGUCCAAUGAUACCAAAGUCAUCGCUUCCACGUAAUACAGUUAAACAGAACACUGUAAAACCCUGCACAACAAUGUCAAGACAAUUUAUGCUUCCUUCAAAACUUAGAAUGUUAGGACUAGCCCAGACCCUAGAGUGUGCUUGGAAACCAAAAAUCUGAAAGAUAAUAAUAAAUGAAUGGCAGCAACAUGAAUUAGAUGAAUUUGUCGAUAAUGUCCAAGGAGAUUUUAGAGAAAAACCACCCUAAUUACAGUAAAACAAAUCUGGAAGUAAGAAAAAAUUUUUUCUAAAAGGUAAGAAGUAAUAGGAAGCGUCUAGGGGAAAUUCUGUUACACUUAACGUUUGUUAUUCUGCAUCAAAAAGAAGUUUAAGUAAGUUUUCUGUUCCCAUCGUAUAAUAAUCAUAAGGAAGAAGUACAAACUCAGAAAGGGGACAUAUCCCUCAUACAAAGGAAUUGUAACAAAAUUUGACACAUGCACAAUUUAUGUCGGACAAAUCUAUGCAAGUAGCUUGUACUCUAUACCUAAAUUCAUAUUGACUUCUGAUUUAACUUAUUCUGCAAACUAUAUUCUUUUAAACAGUCACAAAUUUAAGUUCACAUUUAAUAUAAGCAAGAAAAGGAGACUAACCUCAAUAUCAGUAUAGGAAUAAAUAUGGUUAUGAAUUUCAAAGCUUUGGUUCAUAGCAAAUUUAAGUCUCAUGCUAGGAAUUUUGAAAGGCUCCUGUGAACUGCUCAAAGGAAAGAAACAGCAGUCAAUCAGUAAAAAGAAAAAGAAAAAGGCCUCCAAACCUCUCAAACAAUGUCAAACAUCCAACCUGACAUUAUAACAGUACUUCCAAAGAUCUUCUUGGUAGCUAAUCCUUCUCGCAUCUACUUGUUUAUCAAACUGUAACAAAAGGAACAAUAAUUUCAGGCCAUAAAAAAAUAAACACAAUAAUUUCUAUAACAACGACAAGGACAAAAUGAUGAACCUCCAGAACAACUUUAUCAUAGAUUUCAGGAGGAAGAAAUGUGAAAGAUGUGCCACUAUCCACCAGUGCUAAGAAUCCGGAUCUCUCAAGACAAGAGUUCCCGACACAUAAAUGCUCUACUCGUACAAAGUAUGUUUCACUGAAACAAUUAUUGGCAAGAAAAUUGCUGAACUUCCACCACCAAUAAAUAGUAGCAAACAUAACACCAGAUAAAAGAAAGUCUUAGCUAAUAAGAAAACAAAAAGAACAUAUAGAAGGGUCACAUAGAUGGCAUACUAUUUUCCUCCUAUUGGUAAGAAUGGAGUAGAUUGUUGGGACGCAAGCCCUUUAUCACCAAAAUAAAUUCUUCCAGAACCAUUCUCAUCAAAACAAAUUGAGAAAGAAUUCUGAAUCAAUCCUGCUUUUGCCAGCAAACUUGGAACUGAAAUGUUUCCAGGUCCCAAUCCCAUUAGGCCAUCAGGAGCAGCUCCAUCCAGAUAGCCACCAGUUUGCUUCCUCCCACAGCUGAAUUGAGAUAAAGUGAACAAAGAAGCAAGUAACAUCAUUAACAAAAGCAUGAGCCAGACAAAUUUGGCCGUAUCAGAUCACAUAUGUCUUUGGCCAAAAAAAGAAAAGAUCAAAUGACAUCAAGAACAAUCAAAACACACCCAACUAUGACCGAAGCCUGAACCAAACUCUCCGCUGCAUGGUCAGUAAAUGACUUCAAAUGUAAUUUAUCUUCAACCAGAUAUCCAGAACUUGAGGUAUUAUCCGAAUCAUAUUCAAUAAUGUAAGGGCAGGGAUCAUUCGGCCGUUUGCAGUAUGAACUUGACUCGCAUAACUGAUGGCUACAAGACAGGUUUUUGCUACUGCUUGACAAAGAUGGGUUAUACUCGCUCAGAUCUUUAUCCUGCACAAUAGAUGCCCCAAAUACGUGGGAGCACCUGCCAAUCAAUCAUUGGAAUUAAAAUGCUAAACCGGGAACCGGUUACCAAUUCUUAGCAUAACUAGUCCGCAAUCAUGGAAGCAACAACGUUAACUAUCCCACUAAUGUGUAGUCCAAAAGAAAUAUUACUACUUUCCAGUGAAAGUUUCACUCCCCGCCUACCACCACCACCACCACCACUUCAAACAAAACUAACACAGCCGCCAACUUAUGGUUAAUAGGUAGAAUGUCCUGUUAACUUAAGCAAAUUUAAUAGCAAAAUUCAUUUACCAAUUUGUUUCAUCUUUAACCAAGCUUAUAAGCAAGUUUAUCCAAUCUUCCAUAACCAAUAUUUUGAAUUACAAUGAAGUUAAAAGUCAUCACCGCUCUCCUAUCCUAUUCUACCACCACCACCACCACAAACUCAUAGUUAAAUUCAUAUUAACAAGAAAAACAGCUAUUAUUUGCUUUUGAAAUGAAUCUUCGGCAGUCAUUAUUAAACCUCAUAUGUAUAUUUAAUAGGAUCAAACCAGUAAUCAUAAUACAAACACCCAAUUCAUUGGCCAAUGAGAAGCAAGAACCCCAAGCAUGCAAAGCAGUUGAAAAGCUGAAACAAUAGCAAAACAGCCUUAGAAAUUAUUAGCAAGUAAACAUUCUAAGCUAAACAGGGGAGAAGUAGUAAUAAAACAAAUGGCAAUACAUUGAUAAAUUACCAAUGAAUUAUAGUAACUUGCAGACAAAGGAGCGCAUUGUAUGCAAUCACAUGGGACCCACAGCAGAUCGCUCCCCGCAUCCAAUGCUACGAGGAAUGAAACAUUCGGUGUCCCUAUGUCUAUCCAUGUGUAAUGUAACCUGAAAUUUUUUUUAAAAAUACGAAUCAAAUUAUUGACUACAAAAAUUAGAAAGCAAAAUAAACUGCAAAACAAAAAAUAAAUAAAUAAAGAAGUGAAACUUUUCCACUCCUUUUUCUCUUUACUUUUCCCGAGAGACAAACGGAAAAUAAGUUGAAAAAAAAAAAAGAGAGUAAAAAGAAACUUCAAAAAAGCUGACCAGUCAAACUCGUUUCCGAAGAAGAGGGUUUCGCUUCCUUGAGAAGGAAACAGCAACGGAUCCUGAGAGCCUAGCUUCAUCCUCUGCCUCUUCAAAUCGUUCUCUAUCAGCAACUCCAAGUACUCCAAGCUAUUCCUCUUCGGCCAAGAAACGACACCGUUAGCCACAUUGCCGUUUCGAGCAGUCCAAAGCACCUUCGCCUCGUCGGAGAACCUGUGGAUCAACUUCGACGAAAAUGUGCCCGCCUCCGAACCUCCAACUAAAAGCCAAACGCUCAGAACCAAAACCACCGCGUUUUUCUCCAUACGACUAUCGUAAAGCUUUUAAGAGUUAUUGAGUUUUGCAGAGUUGAGUGGAGCCGGCUUGGUUAUUUCACUUAUUUGAAUGGUGGAAGGGUGCGUAGUGCGCAUAGACUAGGAGGCUAGAACGGUGACGUUUUAGAGGGUGUGUUCACGUGAAAGGCAAAGGGCUGUUUUAUAAGAAAAAGGAUGAUUAGGGAAUUUGAAUAAUAAUAAUAAAAUUUUCAUGUUUUUUUUAAAGAGAAGGAUCCAAUGAAGGAGAGAAACAUGGGGCGCGUCAUGUUUGAAUACGUGUCGAAAAGUGGGAAUGGACGGUGGGUAGCGGCACGUGGGGUUGUUUUAUUAGUAAGCUUUUUGAAAAGGCCAGAAAAAAUGAUGCGAUUACGACUUACGAACCUGGACCCUUUUGAUAAUGGUGCAUGAUUUAGAUAUUGGCCAAAAAAAUCUUUUGACUCGAUUUAUUGCUAAUAAAUAAAAGGUUUAAUAUUGAAAUAUGCUCUCAAUGAUUUAAAUUUUUAAAGUUUGAUUAUAUGUGAAUUAGUCUAUUUUUUUAUGUAAAUAAAUCUAUAAAAUUUUUAAAUUAAUAUAAUUAAAUAAAUUUUCAUUAAAUCAAACUAACUAAUUGAUAUAAUGACAUGAUAAAUGAUAUUUAAGUGAAUUACAGAUAUGACAUUUUGUAAAAAAAUAAAUAAAUAAAUAAUAUUGCACUUGUAGACAAAAAUUGAAAUACAAUAAAAAAAAAAAGAAAUAAACAAGAGAAAAACAAUUAAUAUCUUUUAACAUUCAAACCUAUUCAUGUAUCAUAUAAAAGAAAUAAAAGAGUAAACAAAUAGGAAAAGAACAAGUAAUAUUAUUCUCCAUUUAGACUUGCUUGUGUAUUAUACAACAAAAAUAAAAAAAAAUAAAUAAGAAAAAAAUAAAUAUCACUAUCAGGCUUGUAAAUAAAAGAAGAAAACAAAACAAAAACAAGAAAUAAAAUAGGUAAAAAUCUAUAAUAAAAAAUAUUCAUUUCACUAACAUCUAUAUACAACACCAUUUAACAAAAUGUCAUAAACUGAAAGUAAGUCUAAAAGUAAGUUAUAUAUAACAUCAUUCAAUUAAUCCACAUUAAACCAUAAAUUUGCAAUUAUAUUUGGCAAAAGGCAAUUAACAAUUUAAAUUGCCAUAUAAUAAAUUCAACAAAAGAAAUGUUAUGGAAUUAACUAAUAUAAACAUUCAUAUUCAAUUUUUCUUGUUGUUAACAUAUGAUCUCCACUUAUGUUUCUUUCAUCAAUUAAAGUUUCACUUGGUAUCCUAAGCUAUAUAGGAAAGAUAGAGUAAAAAAAAAAAAAGUAAAAAAUUAGUUUAUUUUUAAAAACACAAAUAGCUAUCAAUUUGAAAAGUUCAGUGUACUUACAUUUAGAAUUGAAUUUCUUGCAUCUAAGUCAAUAUAUAAACCAAUGCCAAAUAAGUAUGGUGGCCUAUUUUGUUGCUUUCUUUUCCCUUAGCCUAUUGCAUGUAAUGCUUGCUAUUGAGUAACACUUUCAUAUUUAUUCUACAUCAACACUUUUUUGUUUAUAUAUACAUUUAUGGAUCACAAAUAAAUAGUUAAUACAUAUGCCUUAUUUAUACCAAUCAUACUUCAUACAAUUUCAUUCACAUUUAAUACCAAGAAUAACAUUUUUGAAUAAGCAAAAAGCUAUUCAAUAAAUAUUAGAUACAUUUAACUUCAAGGCAAAAGCUAGAUCACAAAAGUAAUACUGAAGCAAAACUGUGAAUGAAAAAUAGCUACAUCUAAUAGUCAUGCAAGAGGUAUAAACUACCACAUAAGCUAAAAAUAUGCCUAGAGAGACAUAUGAGAUGUCUAAAUCAUAUAUAGAAUUUAGGCAUCCUUGUUUCUGGUACAGAUCAAGAAAACCUUAUCUUAUCUAGCAAAUAAAAAAUAAAUCUAAUCCAACCAAAUAAAAGAUAAAUCUAAUCAUAACAUUAUUCUUGCAGUCAUAUUGAGCAUCAUUUGCACACUACUUAAUUUUUUUUGGGCUAGUCUUACAACUAAUAUAAAUAUAAAUAUAGAAUUUAAAAACACUAAAAGCAAGACAAUGUUAGUAAUAAUUUUUACCUCUUCUAAACCAUGAUUUGCACAAUUUUUCAUAAACAAGUUGCAGCACUACUCUACUAAAAAGAUGUUUUCCUAUUUUUUCCUCUUAUUGAUUCAGUUGGUCCUGAACCCUUACCUUUUCCCUUUUCUUUACCUCUACCUCUGCCUCUUCCUUUUGCUAAACCACUUGACUAUUUUGAAACCUAAGAACAAAUAAUAAACCAUUGCAAUAGUUGGAGAAGAACUAAGUCAAGUUUGCAUAUGAAUAAAUAAAAUGUAUUAAAAACAACAACUUACUGAGCUAGAUGUACCAACAAAGUUGCUUUUUUAAAGGUAGCUAGCUUUGCUGUGUUCUGGUUGUUUACAAAGCUAGUAAGUCAUAAUCAUGCCCUUUAUAGAUAGUUUAUAUCUAGCUUUAGACUCACCAUACUUUGAAAUUCCAUUCUUUUGUGGCAAGCCUAGCAUUCUUCUAACCAAAGGAGGCUACAUAACUUUUAACUCACUUUUUGGCCAUUGAUUUUCACGAUUGAUAAACUGUAAAAUAUGUUCAUAAGUCAAUACAAAUCUUUCCUUUGAACAAUAGUCAUGGAUUUACUCUUUAGGCUAAUCACCAUCAUAAAAACUUGCACAAAUAGCAUGACAACAUGGAUAGUAGUUAGAUCCAUGAUUUGCAGGCACAUGUUCUUUUGGUAAGAUUGACUAUGAAUUGCAUCCUACCACAUUUAACUUUAUAUCCAUCAUUGCCAUUUAAAAACAACAUGCCACUGAGUUACUUCUUCCAAAUUCUUGGUCAAUUUUGCCAUGACCAGUGUGCCAUGAUUCUUCACCCAUUUUACUAAAAACUUUAUUUUCUCACUUAUCAUUAUCAUCAUAGCCACUAUAAUCUCCUCAAACAUCGUGAUAAUAGGCUUAUGUAUAACUUUGACCAAAGUGUCAUUAAAUGUUUCACAUAAGUUGUUGUGGCACACAUCACACCUAACAUUUGUUCUAAAGAAAACCUUAUACCAAUAUUUUGAGGAUAUUUGAACAAGUCUUCCUUUGCUGAUCUAAAGUUAUCUUUUUUGUGCAAUAGCUCUCACAUAUCUUCAAAUUAUCUUUCUAUUAAAGCAUUUGCACACAUUUAGAAAUGUUUCUUCAUUAUUUUGCCUCGAUGGCUCCAAUUCAAAUUUGCAUGUAUAUGCUAAGCACACCUCUUAUGCUCAAUAUUAAGGAACAUUUCUUCUAUAACAUUUGUAAGUCCUUACAAAACAACGAAGAUAACACAAUUAGUGAAAAGUAAUUAUAGUUAAUAGACUUUAAAAAUAAAAUCUAAUUAAGUAAAUAAGGUACAAAAUUAUACCUUUUGUGGAUUACUAAUAAUAGUCCAAGGUUUAUUACUGGUUAUAUCAAAAUAAGUUUUUAGUCCAAAAAUCACCUUUAUAAAUCCAAUUUUUCAUUCUUUACCACAACCCAAGCAACAUGAUACAUCUAAUUAUUUGCAUCCUUAACUAUAACAAUUAAUAUCUCUUUUUUUACUAAACCCUUGAGAAAACAACCAUCUAAAACUAUAAUUUUCCUACAUCUUGUUUUAAAUCAUUCAUUAAAGGUAGUAAAAUAGAAAUAAAUCUUCUAAAAAUAUGAUGGUGAAGUAGGAACAAUCCUCUCUAUUUUUAUUAUAAUAGUGCUACUAGGAUUUUGAUUGAGGUGCUUAUCAGUUUAAUUUCUCAAUUUAGAAAACUCAUUGGAAAAAAUAUUUUGCAUACUAGCCAAUGUCAUUAGCUUUGCCCUUCUAACUUUAUCAAUAGACACAAAACACUUUAACUCUUAUUUAAUAUGAGUGUGUAGCUCAGUAUGCUUCAAGUAUGGUUCUUUCCUUAUCUUAUCUUAAAGUUUUUUAAACAACCACUUUGCAUUUAAUAUCAGUAGCUUGUACUUACAAUUACAUCUAUGGAUAUUGCAUAAUGUCUUCACUUGAAAGCAUUUCAAUUUAUCUUCAUAGCUGGUAUUGCAUUGAAAAAGGCAUAUACUAGCACAUAAAACAUUCACUCUUCUAGGUUUAUUCUUAAUAAACCAAAUAUCCCUCGUAGUGUGAACAUCAUAAUCCAUCAUAACUUUUUUAAACUAAGUGACAUCUUUAAAUAAUAGACCUAAUUCAAGAUCAAAGAUAAAAGAUUUUGGAUCGUAGGAAGAAAAAUUAGUUUUUCUUAGUAAUGAUUCAACUUCUUCACCAUCAUCAUUUUUCUUAGAUUCAUAACUUGAAGGCUUAGAAGAUUUAGGAUACUUUAUUGCAUAUCCAUCUAUGCUAUGAUCACUUUCAACAUUAAAAGAUGGAACUGGCCUAUUUUGCUUCUUUUUUAAAAUUUCUUUACUCUUUUUUUUUUUUUUUCAAUACUAGGUCUUACCUUAGUUGUUUGGUUUGGUGCAUUAGGCCUAGCCUCAUUAUCAUUACUAGGCCUCGCCUCAUUAUCAUUUCUUUUUCUUCAUUUAUUUUUCAUACUACAACAUUGCCUAACAAUCUCCCUUAUUUCUCUAACCUUCUCAUCAUUAUCUGCUAAACAUGUCACAUCAUAUAACAAGUCAUUAUCAACUGACUUGUCAUUUUCAUGAACAUUACCUUCACCACUACUAUCUUCAACAUUAGUAUCUUCACCUUCAUUCUUUCCAACAUCUGAAGUUUCACCAAUCGUUCAUAUUUUCAUUAGGAGUUUUAAAGAAAAUAUUACCAAUGUUAGCAUAAUUUUCUAUCUUUAUUAGCUUAACCAAAUAAAGAUAAUAAAUUUCAUCAAUAUCAUAUUCAACGUCAUUGACCUCAUAAUUGGUAUAUCUUAUAUUAGGGUCAUGCACAAAAUUAUGCAUGAAAGAUUUUUAGAUUGAUAGUUCUCCACAUGCUGCCAAAAGAAAAAAGGUAAUAUAAGUCAAUAAGGUAAACAAAAGUAGAUACAACUUAACAUAUGGCUUAACAAUCCAUGUGGGACCACUCAACAACAUUUAAGCAUAACAAUCUAACAAUAUAAAACCCAAGCAAUAACACAUGCGACCAGACAGUAACAUAUGCGACCAAAUAACAAUAGAGGGCUUAAAAAUCUUAACAACACAACCUAAUCAAUGACAUAUAAAACCACUCAACCACACAUGUCAAAACUGAUGUAACACAUAAAAAACUUCUUAAAUAUAAAAUUAGACAUAAAUUUCACAUACUAAAUCAACAAAAAUAUAAUAUUUAUACAAAAACAUUUGACUCAAGCAUUUCUACUAGCAAAUCUUUGCCUUUCUAUUAGUUCCCAAAAAAUCUUUAAUAGCAUAUGUUUCACACACGUUUUGCAAGUUUCAACCAACAUUAGCCCCUUCUCCAUAAAAUCCUAAUUUGCAAUAUUCCCAAAACUUCAACUCAGUCAAAACAAAACCUAAAAUCAAUCAAAAUCCUUCUUUAAAAACCCUAGUAAUCCAAAUGUUUUUUUAAAACCCUAAAUUGCAACACUCCUAAUACUCUAUCUCAAUCAAGACAAAACCUAAAAUCAAUCAAAAUCCUUCUUUAAAAAUUUAAGUAGCAUUUAGAUCAAGAACUUCUUCCUUUCCCAAUCUCAUAUUUACUUAUCAAUUUCUUUUUUAACCAAUUACUUUUUUUUACUAAGGUUUUUUUAUGAUUUUUUUUCUUAAAUGCCUUGUAAUCUAUCAAUGUGGACCGACUAUUACACAUCGUCAUCUUUGUUGGAUAAUAUGUAUCUAAUAGUAAUGAUAGUUAGUUUAACUUAACAAAAUUUUACUUUGUUACAAUAAUUUAAAAUUUUAUAGAUUUAUUUAUAUAAAAAUAUAAAAAUAUGGACUAAUUUGCAAGUAAUAAAAUGUUGAGGGCUUAAAUAUGUUUUAUAUAAAAGGUUAAGGGUAUAUUUUAAUAUUAAACCUAAAUAAUAUCACUUUUUUCCCCUUUUGGAACAAUGAUAACAGUAAAGAAUUAUUGUGAAACAACUUUUAAUAUUUAUAUAUAUAUAUAUUUGAAAUUAGAUUUAAUAAUUUAUAUUAUAUUAAAUAUUAAUAAUUUAUAUAUUCAUAUUAUAUUUUACAUAAAAAUUAUUUAUCAUAAUUUAUAUUUACAUCGAAAAUCUAAAAUAUAUUAUUUUAUUUUAUUAAAAUUUAAAACUUGUAUGUUUUUAUGUUUUUUUUAUUACUUUUGUGUUAUUCAUUAUAUUCAUAUGAAACGUUGAGAUGAUCCAUUCAUUCAAAGCCUAUUUUAAAAAGUUUGGAUUUAUUUAUGUAUAGUUAAUUAUCUUUGCAAUCUUGAUAUCUUAAGUCAUAUUUGGUACACAAGAUUAUGAUAAGAUAAUAUAAGAUGAUAUUAUAAAUAGGAUUAGAUUAAAUAAUGUUAUCAUAUCUUAUUUUUUAUGUGUGCAAUGAUUAAGAAAUAAUAAUUUAUUUAUUAGUAAAAAUUAUUCUUCCUUGAAACUUACACAAUUUAAAUUAUUAAUGUAUUUUAAGGGUAUAGUAGGGCAUAUAAGUUCAAUUACAUGGAUUAAAAAUAAUUCUCUUUACUUUGAGAAGAUUGAAUCCUCAUAUACUAAAAAGAUGAUAAUUGUCAUUGUAAUCCUAUCCCUUUCUUUAAGUACAAAUAAAAUAUAAUAUAAGAUGAUUGUCAUUCUAUUUUAUCCAUCAUUUUAUAUACCAAAUAUGACUUACUACUCCAAUGCCUAACAACUAGAAAUGUAUAUAGCCUAAAAGCUAAAACUAGAAUUUUACUAGCUAGCCCAUUAUAUCUACUAAUAAUUUGGGACUAGUGCUAAUGGGUCGAUCACUUUCUUUAGCCAUUUUAGGUCAUAUUUGGUACAUAAGAUAUGAUAUAAAAUGAUAAGAUAAGAUAAUAUUAGAUUAAAUAACUUCAUCUUAUUUUGUGUUUGAUGUAUAUAAAGAUUAGGAUAUGAUAAUUUAUUUUUUUGUCAAAAUUAUCUUUUUUUAAAGUUUAUACAAUUUAAAUUAUUCAUAUAAUUUUUAAAUAUAUAAUUGGACAUAUAAAUUUAAUCUUAUAGAAUGAAAAUAAUCAUCUCCACUUAGGGAGGAUUAAAUAAUUCUAUACUAAGAGGAUAUUAAUUUUCAUUGCAAUCCAUAUCCCUCUCUUUAAAUACAAAUCAAACAUAAUAUAAAAUGAUUAUUAUCAUAUUUUAUCAGUAAUCCUAUGCAUCAAACAUAACAUUAAAUCAUUAAAUAAAUUAUAUUUCAUAUUACAAUUAUAAUUAAAAUUUACAAUUACAAUUACAAACAAAUUAUUUUAACAUAUAUCAAAUUGUAUAAUAAAGAAUAAAUCAAAAAUUAAUAUAAAAUUUGAUUAAACCUACUCAUAUUAAUUUCUGCUAAAUUCUAUUGAAUCAAAAAACUAUUCUAAUUAUAAUAAGUUAGGUUCUAAUUAAUCCUUCAUUUCCAUUUUCUUUUUAUUUGUCUAUGUAUUAUGACAUCAAAAAGGUCCAAUUGAAAGAAUGCCACUCCUACAUUUCCACCCCGAGCAUUUGACUGAUUACAAUGCAUAUAUCUUUCUGUUUAAAGAAUUGAUUGGAUUUAAUGUUUUUUUUCUCACAAUUAAAAAAAAACCCACUUGACCUUUAUUUUUUUGAAAAUACAUGAAAAAUUAAAUUUAAUAAUUACUUGCAAAUGUAUGAUAACAAGUCCAAGCAUAUAGUGGUAGCUAAAUUCGAUAAAUUCAAAGUAAGGUAAAUUAAAAAUAAAAAAGAAUUAAAGUUGUGUUUGAUAAACAAUUGAAAAAUUUUCAAACCAUUAUUGAAAUUUAAAAUUUUUAAUAGUUUUAUAUAUUUUUAAUACAUUGGAUACUUUAAAAAUUAUUUAAUAGAAGACUUUUAAUGAAAGAGUUUUGAAAUGCUAAGUAGCAUUUAAUUAGCUACUUAAUAUAUUAAGUCAAUCUUAUUUAAAAAGAAUUAUUUAAUUUUAUUAAUUAUAUAUUUCUUCCUUUUUUUACUUUUAAUAAAUUAAAAAUAAUUAUAAAAUCAUAUCUGUAUUUUAUAAAAAAAAUUGAUAAUUAAGAAGAAAAUUAUUAAACAUUAUGUAACAUACCGAAUAAUUUUUAUAUUAAAUAUCUAGUACUUAAAAUUUUCAAAAUUGGCCAAUAUUCUUGAAAGGUUGAUUUAUUAGAAUUUAAUAGUUUUUCGAACUUACCAUUAUAAGGAUAAAACCUAAUUGAUAUUUUACUUUGGAUUAUUAAGUAUAUAAGGAAGAUGUGACGAGAAAAAUUAUAAAUAAUGAAAGUCAAUAUUAAUUUCUAAAAAAAAAAAUAAAAAUCAGCACAUUUAAUGGCUAAAUCGUUACUAUUUCGGAAUUGGGAGAUAUCCCUUCGAUGAACAACCCUAAUCCCUUGAACCUCGCCUAAAAUUAGGCAUUUUUUUUUCCAAGAAAAGGAGAUUUUACACUCAUUUAUUUAUUUUUUAAUUUCUUUUUCUAUUAAAAAAAAAAGCAUGAAAAACGAACGACACGUUUUAUCUGUCAAUCGGAAGGAUGCGUUUGCUGGUUGCUUCUCUGUCUUAGCUUAUGAAUCCUCUCCUUUUGAGUUGUCACCUUAUAAAUCCUCUCUUUCUGAGUUGUCUUCUUCUAUAUUCAUCCAUCGUCUCUGCUUCUUUCUCUCAGGCAAGUGAUUUUACAUACUUUUUUAGCCGUUUUUCACAUUCAUUUUCAUUUGUUUUUACCUUUCUUGAAUCUGGGUUUUUUUAGGGUUUUGAAGGAGUUCAAAUGUGAUUGGAUUUGGGUUUAUUAUUGGUAUGUUCUCUUUCUCUGUCUCGUUCCUCACUGAAACCUUUUCAAUUUCCCCGAUGAUCAGCAAACAUAAAAUACUACAAUUUCGUUGAUUAAUUAUUAUAUUUUUUUUGCUUGGGUUGCUUGAAAAACAAAGAAUUUGAUAAAAAAAUUUGAGUUAAAACUUUUAAGUUUUAAGGCAUUAGCAUUGUUUUCCUGGAUUUCAUUUGCAUGACAGAUAUGUGCUGGUUUCUUGACCGUCAAGCCUUCUGGACGCGCAUCAUAAGAUUCUUUGUUUUUGCUUUUUUUUUUUUUCAUUUUUUCCACAUUAUUCUUUUAUUUCUUUUAUAUUUUGCCUAUCAAAACUGAUUUUUUUUUCUUUAAUUAUAUAUUGAGUACAUAUAUCAUAUGAUUACUUCUUUACGUCAGAUUUCUUUUUUGAAUUGUUUAUUAGAAUGAAACUGAAAUUAAAACUCAGGAAGAGGUGCAAAAUUUAUUGAGAUCAUGCGUGCACAAUGAAUCUAUUUCAAAUACAUCCAAAAGAAAACCAGAUGCCUUCAUUUCUUGUCUUUCUUACUGGUUAGAGUUUUUCAAUGUUUCACAUUGUAAAAUUGAUGAUAUUUUCUUUUUCUUUUUUUCUUUUGAAAAAAACAGGGUCGAUGCCACAUAUAAAACCCAAGCUUGACGUCACAGAUAUUAGCUGUCAUCUCUUUCCAUCUUUCCCUCUCUCAAUGAAUACUCCUCUUCCCUCUAUUUAUAACCUAAUUCGUAAUAGCCCUUUUCUCUCACAAUUUCUCUUCAUGCACUUGUAGUUUUGUUACCUUGAAAAAAACCCAAAUCCAAAAUCCCUUACUCGUUUUGAUAUGCUUGGUCUCGAAGCCUUAACCAUAUGUCCAAAGAAGAGCCAAACUGAAAAGCAUUGCAAUUCUUGCAUGAUGAGUUCAAGCGUCGUUUCCCUAUCGGCUUCUUCUUUGAUUGGUGAUUAUAUUGGCAUGGAGAGUUGCUUUGAUCUGGAAAAUAACAAAGAGGUUUGCCUUGGUGUUAAGAAAGAUAAUGAGUAUUCUGGGGUUUGCAGUCGAAGUCGUGGGAAGCGAGAACAACGGUGUAGGAGGAUGAUGAAGAGAGAGUUUCCUCCGCCAUUAACGUGGCUUGUUCGCACCGAGAAUCUGCCUUCUCAUAUGCCUUGGGUGUUGAAAAGGUAUUACACUAGUGAUGGGCGGUUGAUUCUUAGAGAGGAGAAGGUGAGACACCAUGAAUAUUUCCGGGCUCACCGAUCCAAUGGUCGUUUAACAUUGCAUCUUGUGCCCUCGGAUGACAACGAUGAGAUUGAUGAUAUUGAGGAUCAUGAGAUUCAUCAUGAAGAAGCAAAGGUCGAAGAGGCUCAAGUCAAUGGUUUUGACAACGACAGCAACAAUAUUAACAAUGCCGAGGAUGAUCACAAGAUUAAUAUUGUUGAAACUUUGCUUAAAGACAACGACAUUCCUUUGAUUGAAGAUUCAAUACUGAAAUGUUCAAUUGCUGAGACUCCAAUUGAGAAUGUUAUUGCAGCAAAUGGAGGAAUAUGCUUGAACUACUGCAGUGUAAGACCAAGUCCUACAUGUUUUAUCAAGUUGCCAGUGCCAGCAAUCAGGCCAGUGCACAGUUAAUUAGGUAGCAAAACCUUCUCAAAAGGAGAAAAAAAAUGAGGUGUCACUUUCAUAAGAUAAAUGGAAAUGCGUAUGGUUGAGUAGCUUUAGUCUUAGAUUCCUUCUAUUUUUCCUUCUAUUUUCUCUUUUUUACCUUUCCCCCAAUUUUCCCCUUUUGGGGUGGCCUUCUUCGUUGAUGUGAUGAGAGUGAGUUGUCCUUUUCAUGCCUUUUGUAAGGUCAGUGGUAGAGGUUUCAAAGGGUAUUUUCUUUGUUAGGGUUUCGUUUACUUUGGUUUUUGCACAAUAGAUCUUUCAUUUGUUAGUGAUGAAUUUUUAUGGGUGUUAUUUUUUUUCCCCUUUGGGUUUAUCUAUUGGCCAUUCUCAUGUCCUAGAUUUUUCAAUGUCAAUGCCAAAUGCCGAAAUCCCUUUUAUGUAACUACCAUUUCCAGCAACAUAACAUGGUACAUGGAAGAGUACCAUAUUUUGAUGGGGAAUGGGUUAUAGUAUUAUGACAUAUUGGCAAUUAUGCAUUUGUUUCUAACGUUUUGCCGAAUUUUAGCUCUACCCAACUCAUUUAGAUUAUCAAUGCUUACUCCAUCCAAUCUUGAAAGGGUUAAGAGUGUGUGGCACCACCAUUGCUAAACUUUUGUCUUCUGUCAUUCUCUUUUAAUUUGGUUUGCUUAUUUACCACCAUUUUGGCUUGCAAUUUACACUGAUUUGGGACAUUAUUUUUAUUUGGAUUUAUGAUGAUAAUCACAAGUAUUUUUUGCGAAUAAAAUUAUAUGUAUCAUAUUUUAAUUUUGAAAUGGAUAAUAUGGUAGGGACAUAUAUAUACUCAUUAAUGAAUUUUAAGUAGGUGUACAAGAUUAUGAUUAAAAUGGCUGAACUGGAUUAAAGAGUAAGAGUUAAGCAUUCAAUGUAUAUAUAGUAUGGAAAGUCCUACUAAUUUCAAAGGUUAUAUAUUAAGCAUAGGUAGGUUUAUGCAAGUUAUUAGGAAUAUUAUUAUAUAAACAUACAUUCAAAUGAAAGCUCAAAAAUCAUGCAGGUUUCUUGAAAGAAAACAAUAGGAACCUGAUUGAUUACUCAUGAUCCUCAAACUUCUAUAGAAAAAAUGAGUUGCAUGCAGCUGAUGAGAGCUAAGAGGCAAAUGCCAAAUGAAAAGAUUGUAGAAAAAGAGAAAUUAGUGUUCCCAAAGCAUCAUCAUCCAUAGAUCAUCUCUAGAAGGUAGCUAUUAGAAAUAUCAAAGAAGUAAUUCUAAAAAGAAAAAGGGACGAAUUCAAGUGGUCACCAGGAACUGGGAGUACAUGCUAUAUGGUAUUGCACUACCUGAUCAGAUAUUUUUUCUCCAAGCAUAUGAAAGACAAAAAACAAGUUGGGUUCCAUGAUGGCCACGCCCCUCAAAGAAAAAUUGUGCAGAAGGGUGUGGCACCGGCGGUAGACAGAAGAAUCGAAAAUCAAUCAAAAGUACUUGAGGCCCAGCCUGGCCAGGCCAGCCAGGGGAACAAUUUCCAAAGGGGACCCAAGUAGACUAAUCAUCAUCAUCAUGAUGUUAUGCACGUAUUAGCAAAGUAUAUGAAGUACAGCUUACCUCCCAAUUUCUAUUACUGUGUCAGUUCUCAUGAUCGGCAGGGCUUGCAGGGCUCUGCCUUGGCACUUCACUGCAAAACCUUCCAACCUUUCACUGUCAUUUUUGGCAGCAGGCUGGUGCGUCUACCAAUGUCACAAGUCAACCCCUUUGUUUCAUAUCGAUGAAUUUACUUACUAAACUUUGCCAUCUGCCAUGAUCGGUCACUAGACUAAUUAAUCAAUCAUUGAUUGAUAACCAUUUUACGUAUGCUAGCAUGAAGUUUAACUUCCCAAUGCAUUAAGUGGGAAAAUAAGUAAACUGUAUCUUUAAAUCUCAGAUUGUCCAACCAAACGCAACAAAUGGUGUGAAGUGUUACAAUUUUUCAAGGGUAGUAAUAAUAUUGUAUUAUAAAUGGUUAAUAAGAACAGUUCAGCAUUGUCCAAUUGAACAAUAAAAGAGUCGAACAGGCCCCCCCUUGUAUCAAAUCAAAUGAAAUGAAUCACUGGUAGUCUCUGUUAGUAAAGCCAGACCUGUGAUGAUUCUAAUUCCCAGUAGUCUUAAUGAUAAAAUUUGGAUGACAUGACUAGCUUGCAACUUCGAUGAGUAACACUUUGCAUUUAUUAUAUUGUUCCUUUGCAUGAUAUAUAAUGCAACUUGAAUUGUAUUGUAAAGGAACUGGGUUUGUUUUAUUUUUCUGUAAUACUUUCUCCUUGUGUAAAAUUUAGCUUAUGUUUUCUUUUUCAAAUAUUCUAUUGACAUUCAAUGACUAAUAUUUGAUGAUCUCAUAUACCUAUGCUCAAAUCUUUCUUCAAUGGUAUUCAAUAUUGAUAAACAACCUUUAAUUUUUGUACUUAUUUGGUUCAUGUCAUAACUUUUUGAAGACAAAAGACAAAUUAUAAACUAACGCAUGCAUUAAUUGGAACCAAGUUAUUUUACCUGUGAAAUUAUAUAAUGGUAUUUUAGUUGUUUAAAAACUAUGAGAAGUCCCUGCUUUUCUAUUUUUGUUUCUAAGCCAGAAUUUAUCAAAACAACCAGAUAAUUAAAAAAACUAAUUGUACAAAGAGGAAAUCCAAAGUUCCAUUACAACCCUAUUAGAACAACCAAGAUAUCCCCUUAUUGUAAACCAUGCAAAGACACCCAAGCUAGAUACCACACCCAAGAACAAGCAAAUUACACAAAGAUCUGACAGAAAAAAGAGGAGACAGCACAGCAGUCCAAGCCAGGAAAAUCGAAGCAAAAGCCGACCACAGAACCUCCAAGAACCAACCGUAGAAAGUUUAGAUUAAUGCCAUGCUUAUGCUUGCAACAAUAAGAUGCUGACAGUAAUGAAAGCCGAUAUGGAGCCUAUCAUAACUUAAAAUGGAGUAGAACCUCCAAUAUACAUCAAUAGCACAUUAACAGUUAAUCAUUAGCAUCCCGUUCCCUUCGCUUCAUUUACAUCCAACUUUUAGAUAAUGAUUUUUCAUCACCUGCGAAAGAGAAUCCAAGAUAUUUUUCAAGCUCCUCAACUUUGACAAUCUCAUCUCUAUACAUAGAAUUUAUCCGUCGAAUAUCAGUGUCCGAAAUGCAAUUAUCAUUGUCUAAAAUCACAGGGGUGCAGGAGCAGGACUACAAACAAGAGUCUUUUUAAAUACUUUUAAAAGAAAAAAGUAAUAGAAGUUUGAAUUUGUCCUGUUCGAAAUUAUCAAAAGUAAAAACACAUUGGCAAUUAUAUGCAUAUAGAGAUGAAUAAUGUCAUUUGUAAUAAUGGUCAUUGUUUGAUUUUCUUCUUCAUCAUUGAAACCAACAAAAAGAAGACAACCUCCGGAGGUUCGAAUAGUACUGAAGAGUCUAAGCUGUCACAAAAGCUAAACAUCAGCUUGCACAAGUGGGCUAUUACAAUGUACUACGAAUUUUUAUUUACUUUACAUUAUUGUUCACUUGGAACACGUACGACCCCCUCGUGAAGAAAUUAAAACCGUUCUUAUGCUCUCCCUUACAACCUCUUCUCUUCAUCUCAUAAAAAGGUUUGUAAGGCAGCAAUACAUGUAUACGUUUUAUGUUAAAAAGAUGUUUUGGAAUUCAUUUUCCAAAAUAAUAAGAUAAGAGAAAAAUAACAGAAAGACGAUAGUGGAUGUGUCAAUAUUGUCAGUACUAAUUUCCACUAGCUAAUCAGAGAGAAAAUGCAUGCAAGCAUGGGAUCCUUACAUGAAGAUGGGUUGAUUUCAAGAACUAAAUCUAUAGUUUUAUCCCUCUAUCGAAUCAGGCACAUCCAGGUUUCCCCUCUCCCACGCAAAUCCAAAAAGAUCAAUGCACUGCCUCUGUCUAUAAACAAUAUCUCCAGCUACCAGGUCUCAAAACCCUAAUAUAUGCACAGGAAAGUAUCCCUCAAAUUCAGAGUCCAACUCACUAGCUGAAUCCUCUCAUCAUCCAUUCCUUCACCAUCCCACAGUCGUUACCUCUAUCAUCAUCACUCUUCGCCUCAGAUUUCCAACCCUUGUUUCGAUCCUUAAGCACUCACUCUUCAUCAUACUCUUCUUGGCCCCCUGCGAUGGAUGAUAUGCUCGCGACUGAAAGUGGAGUUUCAUGAGUCCUAAUGCAUUGAAAAUGCCAGAAAUGGAUCAGAAAGCAAAUGGUUAUAAUCAUGGUAAGAGCAAGCGAGGGCGUGCGAUUACAGGAGAAUAUCCAGCCCCCAUUCCUUUACUGGCAAGAACGGGGAAUUUGCCUGGUAACAUGCCUUUGAUUUUAGCGCGACAUUACAGUAAUGGGAGGCUCAUUCUUAAAGAAGAGAAAGUGAAGCAUCAUGACUAUUUUCAAGCCUACAGAGAAAAUGGUUCGCUUAGUCUCGAACUUGUGCCUUUGGAUGACACUUUGCCAUGCGAUUUGCGAGGAAAAUGAUGAGGAGGAGGAGGAGCUAGAGCUAGAAAACCUUGCAAGGAGAUGAAUUAGAGAAGGUUGAAGAAUAUGAUGAAGAUCAAACUAAAGCUGCUACCUAUGAUGAUGAUAAUGAAGAUAAUGGCUACGUGUGCCAAGGGUUAAUCACGAUUUCAUCAUCAGCUUUUUCAGUGCCUAAAUUCUGCCAUGGGAAUGAAAAAUAUGGAGAUCCAGGCAAGUGUUUGACGUAUUCGGGUAGGAUUAUAUCAGAAUCGAGUUCAAUAUUUUCCGAUGCUAUCGAGGAAGAAGGCAAUUCAGCUCCUUCGACAUUCUCCAAUAUUUUUCCAUCGAUGACUACUAGUCUACUAAAACUGCCUAUGAUGUAGCUUGUUUGGUGAAGUAGAUUAAAUCCUGGCUAUAAGACAAUUUACUCUCGGAAUAAAUUAUCUCUCAAACUUUAAUGGGCAAAAGAGAAAGUUACCAAUUGAAUGUACUUUGGGUUGGACAGCAUUAUUUGUAAUUUCUCUUUUGCAUAUGGGCUAACGGGGCUUGUACAUGACCCAUAGACAAAAAUUACGCCUUCAUCCACAAAUCCAGGCUCUAGCUCCUUUUCUCUCGCUGUUAAUAAAAAAACAGGACCUAUUUUUGUUCCUGAUUAGCCCAAAAAAUGUUAUGGGCUGAACCGAGGAAACCUUUUACCGGAAAUGCAAACAGCGACAAUUUCCGCUUUCCACGCAUUUACAUUAAACGUCAACAACAGCGAAGACUCGAAUGCAUGUACCAGGAAACUCAUCAGAUCAAAUAUGAUUUGCCGGUUGACCAAACAAUUCUACGUGAAAAGGCAUAAAAAUAAAAAUCUAGACGGCUACGAUACACGUGGGCAUUGUUUUGCCGACGUGUCAUUAUCCCAACCAACCUUACACGUAUUUUAUCAAAAUUUUCGGUGCUGUAUUACGUCAAGCAGCCAAACUUGAAUUGUCAUUACAAUUGCAAACAAUUAGAAAAAUCGCUUUUGAUCAGAUAGAUAGUCUCAAUAGCUAAUUUGGAUGGUAGCUUUUGUUGGGUAUCAGGUAAUUUUUUUUCACUUACCCUGACUUUUUAUUUUAUUUUUCAGUUAAAGAUCUGAAUAAUGCAUGCGAAAAUAUGUAGUUUCUGGAUCAAUUCUGCUAACUUUUGGAAUGGGGUUUUUUUUUUUUUUUUAAUCUUGCAUUUUAUUUGAUUGUGUGUGUGUGUUUUUUUUUUAAUUUUUCUGUUUUCCUUUCUUCUAUUUAUUUGUUGAUGAUACAGUGGAAUGGUUAAGUUUGAGAGAAUUUGUGUGCUUCUGAAAGUUUUGGCUGUUAUGAUAAUUUAUUGGGUUGAUUGAAAAUCGAUUUUUAAGAGCUGUUUAACUUAGUUCUUUGUUUUGAUGGAGGAAUACAAUUUGGGAAGGGGUUAUUUGGCUUAUUUCUUUAUUUUAUUUGGUGAAUAUAUUGGGAAAUAGGUGUUUAUUUGUACAAUGUUUUCUUUACACUCGAUGUGGUUAAGCAUGAUCUGAGCAAAUUUUCAUCAUGUUGUAGGAUUCUGGAAUUUUAAUCAAAGUAGUGUUGUUGUUGUUAUUUGCUUUAAAUAUAAUGGCAGGAAGGAUGAUCUGAAAUUGGUUUUGGUGAAUUCUCUAAUCGAAUGUUGCUGUAGUUGAAUUAUAUUGUCUGUCUUUUCUUUUCCUUUUCAGUGGGGCGGGGGGGUUGGGGGAAUAGUUGAAUUAAAAUUGUUCAAAUUGCCUACUGGAGUUACUUCCAUCUUCUUCUUGCUCCUGACUACUUGAGUUACUCAAAUUGCUAUUGUAUAUUUUUCAUCAAUUCUUUCAUUGGUAACAUUUUCAUUGAUCAAUGAAAGUACAAUGACAGUAAUAUUGCAGCGCUUGGACUAAUUUCAUUGACUAAAAAAAGGUGCGGUACCCAGGAAUUUGUUCAAACAUUGCUUAAUCUGAGAAUUUCUUAAUGGGGGCUAUUCUGAGCUUGGCUGCUGCAAGGAGUUCAAUAAAUGACUACAAUGAGGUCUCACCGAGUGAAAGCAGCAAGAAACUGAAGAUGUCCUCAUGCUUCCAUGAAGAUAGAUCAAGACUGAUUCCUAGUCUUCCUGAUGAGUUAUCAAUGCAGAUCCUUGCUCGAAUUCCUAGAAUUCACUACUUUAAUCUGAGGCUGGUAUCGCAGAAGUGGAAGGCAACUGUUAUGAGCCCUCAACUAUUUAAAUUGAGAAAAGAACUUGGAAUGACAGAGGAGUGGUUAUAUGUGCUAACUAAAGUUGAAGGGGAAAAACUUCUAUGGCAUGCUUUGGACCCUUUGUCAAGGAAGUGGCAGAGGCUGCCAUCAAUUCCAAAUGUCAUUUUUGAAGAAGAAUCUAGGAAGAGUUUAUGGAACAUUGUGGAAUAUAGAAUUAAAAUUGCUGAAUUUAUAAGAGGCUGGCUUGGGCAUAAGGAUGGAUCAAAUCACAUGCAAUUUUGUGGUUGUGCCAUUGGUGCUGUUGAUGGAAGCCUGUAUGUGCUAGGGGGAUUCUCAAGAGAUUCUACCAUGAGAAACGUCUGGCGAUUCGAUCCACUUCUAAAUGCAUGGACCGAAGUGACUUCCAUGUCAAUAGGUCGGGCCUACUGUAAGACAAGCAUUUUAGAUAAUAAGCUAUAUGUUGUAGGAGGGGUUAGUCUAGGCCGAAGUGGGUUGACUCCUCUUCAAUCUGCUGAAGUUUUUGAUCCCCAUACCGGUACGUGGUCCCAAGUUCCAAGUAUGCCAUGUUCAACAGCUCAUAUGUUACCUAAUGCGUUUUUGGCUGAUAUGCUGAAGCCUAUUGCCACUGGGAUGACUUCAUACAUGGGAAGGUUAUAUGUAGCUCAGAGUUUAUAUUCAUGGCCUUUAUUUCUUGAUGCUGGGGGUGAGAUUUAUGAUCCUGAAACAAAUUCAUGGGCUGAUAUGCCAAGUGGCAUGGGGGAAGGUUGGCCUGCACGGCAGGCAGGUACAAAGUUGAGUGUUGUGGUAGAUGGUGAAUUAUAUGCUUGUGAUCUUUCCAGCCCUUUGAAUAGUAGUAAAAUAAAGGUGUAUGAUCAAAAAGAAGAUGCUUGGAAAGUUGUCAUUGGAAAUGUCCCUAUUAAUGAUUUUUCAAAUUUAGAAUCUCCAUAUUUACUUGCUGGAUUUCAUGGAAGGCUUCAUGUCAUCACGAGAGAUGCCAAUCAUGACAUUGCUGUUCUACAGGCUGAUCCCCAGGAUAAUUUCAGUCCUUUGCCAUCAAACUCAACUUCUCUUUCAGGUGGUUCCUUACAGAAAUUUCCUGAUUCAGUGGCUGAAUCUGAAACAGUAAUCUGGAAGGUUAUUGCCACCAGAGAUUUUGGGUCUGCUGAACUUGUCAGUUGUCAGGUUCUUGACAUUUAGGUAUAUCAAGCAACAUGUUAGAGUGCAAUUCUAAAAUGUUUAUUGCCUGGAAUCUAUAGAAGUGAGUUCAGUGAAUUCAGGUUCAGCAAAUUUUACAGUCUCUAUGAAUUGUUCAAAAUUAUAAAUCUACCCUGUCCAGAAGAUCAUCAUCAAGUUUGUCAAUUGUUCAUGGCUCAUUGUUGGUGAUCUCAUCGGAUGUCCUUAGAAUCUAUGGAUUGGUGAUAUAAACAACGAUCCACAUACCUUUCAAUGUGUAAUAAAAGGUGGCAUUAUAGCAAUUUAAAGGAGAAUAAUAUAAUAUCAGUAAAUCCUCUUUAUUAGGUUUUGAGCAUUUAGUGAUUUAAUUUACAAAUACAAGAUCAUCAUUAAUUGAUUAUUAUCUUUGUAAUGCAUAUUUGUGACACACUUAACAAAAAUGAAAAUCAAAUAAAAGAGUUAUAUAGCAAAGUCUACUGCUUCAUUGCCAAUUGAUUUGAUGUACUUUCUUUGUGAUCUGUUACUUUUGUGGUUUCUAACUUUCUACUCCAGCAGGUGUCCCACUGUUUCCCAAUUGAUUGGUUCCCUGAUUUAGAUCAAACAGUGCAACAAACACCUCUAUGUGUCCUCAAUUUCUUUCUUUUUUUUUCCCACUCAUGAAGCUAACAAAAUAAGCCAUGAUUGUUGUUUAAUCCGUUGAACCUUUUCUUGCUCAUGGUUGCUCUAAAAGUAACCUAAAUUGUUAAUAACUAUUCUGUUUUUGAUUCAUUGAACCACGUUGGAUGUCUCAAAUAAAGGUACUAGUGGGUUCAUGUAUCUUAUCCCAAUUAAAUGUAAUUUGUACUUCAUACUGUUGCUCUUGUUGAUCUUAAACAGAGUGAAGAAUUGUUUAUGGUUAAAAGAAAUAGGUAAUAAGAACUUUUUUUAUAUUUAAUUCAAUUGAUUCAUAUAAUUAUUUUAAAAAAUAAUAUCUAAUAAGUUUAAUAUCAAAUUUUAACACUUGUGAUCUUGUUCCUUAUCUUAUAUUACAUGUUAGAAAUUUAGAAUGGUUGUAGUCUCCCUUAACAUAAUUCCAAUUAUACAAAGUAAUUAAGUAUACUAAUUCCACUAAGACUUACCAAAAGCAUAUCUUUUUCACAGAAUCUUAGCCUGCUCUUAAAAUGCUCCGUGAUGAAAUAUUUACAUUGUACAGUAACCUACACCAAUUAUAUUAAUAACUCUUUCCUACUGUUGAAUCCCCAACGCUAGAACAAGGGCAUUAUAUAAUUAGGAGUUAAAAAUUAUAGUGAUUCUGAAGCAUUAACUUUUUCUUAUUAUAUUAUUCAUUUUUGGAAUCUUUUAUCACUUCUGAUAAUGUUAGCAUUUGUUCUUAUGGUUUCUAAACAACUAAAUCUUUAGUGCUGGAAUGGUGUCAAAUCAGUUAAAAGUGAGCUCCAUUAAUUCUUUCUAGUGGAUUCCCAAUCUAGAAAGACUCGGCAUUUGGGAAAUCAAACGGUUGAAGCAACUUUGAGUCGACUUUCUGUCCUGGAAAACUUUAAUUCCUGGUUGGAACAUGCGGCUGCUACAUAGAAUAUCAGGUUACAGUAAAUUUUUUUACAGAAGCUACUUAAAAUAUACAUGCAGCAGCAAAAUUUUUUACUGAGUGAUAGUUGUUAAGGAGGAAGAACUACGAGCUAUAUUCACUGAUGGAAAAACGAAGGAGAAAUAUCAGGUUACUAAUUUUUUGACUAUCAAUGUUGAAAUUCAGAUUCAGAAGCUCAUGACCUGUGGCGGGUCUACAAUGAACUUUUCCCUAAUUUCAGCCCAGAUCAUGGAUCAUGUGUAACUCUUUUCAUAGUUUGUGUAUAAAAGACAAGAAUUCACUUCUAAUUCCUAGCCAUGCUAUUGUCAUUUUUAAUUGUUUUUUCUUUGGGGGGUGUUGAAUUUUUGUGCCAAGGCUAAAGAAAGAAUCUAGGUCUCAUUCUCUUGAUUAUGCUAGUGAAACAUUAUUAGUGGAAGUAUAUUCUCCUGAUUUUCGUAGUUCCAUCGAGUCUUCUUUUUCUUAGUGGUGGACCUCUAUGCUUUGCAGCUAGCAAAUGUACAACAUUGUCUCAUGUAAUAUCGAUAAUCCUCGUGAUUUCAUUACCAGUUUGUACAUAAUUACAAAUUAUAAUGUUCUUUCUGCUGCUUGUUUGCAAGUUGUUGAUGGUAUGUGAAGUCAUAAACUAAUUUGUCUGGUAAUGGAGAGUAUCAUUAGUCUAUAAGUGCAAGAGUAAUAUGGUUGAAGCUUGAUGGAAUUGCUAGUGGAACUUCCAAAAAAUUGAAAAGCAAUGAUGGUGGGGACAAUUAGCUGGAAAAAUCUGGUGAUGGAAUAAAAACCAACAUGGAAGAUAAAGGAUUUGACAUUGAAUUUCUUCCAUCUAAUUAAUUUGACUGCAAUUUCAUUAUCUUUCCAUUGUUGGGGAGGGGAGGAUUUCUAUCUUGCCAGGAAUCUAAUUACUCAGCCUCUCUCUUGGCAAGUGGCAUCCUGAUCCAGAUCUAGUUAGUUCUGAUGUUAACCUGGAUGGUAGUUUAUUUAUAGAUAAUCUGAAAGGAAGUUGAUUGCUUUCCGGGCUGUGCUUUUGGCUGUUCUGAGCUCUGUCAUUGACAGAUUCAAGCUGAAUUGAUCACAAUUUGGACGGCAUGAUUUGGUCUGACUUGCUGGCCUAGGAAAUUUUCAUUGUUAUUCAUCUUAUUAUUAACAUAAUUGGUGGUUGGCUUUUCAUAACUUUGAUCCACAAAGUGAAGUGAGGGUUGUAGGCGUGGCCAAAGUUCCAAACUGCUCCAAAAGAAUCUGUCAACCAAGCAUCUGCAUAAGUCUUGUCUAGACAUUAAAAGGGUAAAAUAUUGGAUGAACAUCAAAUGGUGUUAGAUUCUCCACCAUGCAACUUUAAUGAUAAUGAUUCUUCAUUCUUAUAUUAUUAGUUUAGCCAUCUGUUUUUUGGAGUAUGAUUCUGUUUCCCUGGAAGAAUCAAAUAUACAGUUGUCUUCGUUACUUUUAUCUUGCCCAUCAAUUGCUGCAGAAUUUGCAUGAAGUUGUUAUGUUCUAGACCUUAAAACCAAGCAGUAAAUCAAAAUGAAUAUUUGUGCCAACCUGAGGUUUCUUAUUCCACUGUUGGUGGUCCUUGUAAGGUAGUCAGAUAAGGCUUGCUGAUAAAUAAUUGCUGAUGCUCUAAUGUCACCAUCAGAAACAGCAAGUUGAUCAAUAUGACAAUAAUAGUUCUUCCAAUAAUAAAAGUUCUAUUGCCCCCAUUACUUUUGUUUGAAUAGUGAAAUUUCUUGAUAGGUUUUACUUUUCAUAAUGGUGGGAAUUUCUGCAAAAAUAUCAGACAUGGGAUGAUUUAAGUCUUAAGAUGAUAAAAAAAUAAAAAAGAGAGAGUGAGAGAUGGAGAAAAGGAAAUUUUCCACUCAUCACUUCCAACUUUGGCUAAGCUGUUAGGUCAACUUCUUAAAGGGAACUCAAGAACUUUUCACAUCUCCAUUCAUUUUCAUGAAACUGUUCAAAUUUUCUGCUGUGCCAUGUUUCUAAAAUGCCCUUCAAUUCAAGAAAUAUGAGUUUUUCUUGUCUUGAACUUGUUACAAGAAAUUGACUUGUUUUAUAUUCCACAAAGUUGCAUGUUAUACAAAAUCUAAUUCUAAUUAAAAAAAUUCAAUAACUAAGUCAAAUUAAUUGAAUUUUAGUUAAAAAUUAAAACAUGUCAUCCCAUUCAAACAGAUGGUUUUUGUAUUCACCAGAUUAAUGAAUAGAUUACAUAUAUUUUCAUUUACUGGAGUAUAACCAAGUGGGGUUAUUUACAGAUGACAAUGUAAAAGUGUCACUUUCUAUAUCAUUAGCUUUUCUGUUAGAUUCAGGUAAAAAUUUCUUUCUACAUCAAGUUGCAAAGGUUUCUCUCCCUCUUCAUUCUCUGACCUGUUAUUCUACAUUUCCAUUCAGUUCCAGCUCUUAGGUUGAUGCCAAACCACUUAAAGUACUGUUUUUUUUUCUUGGAGUUUUAAGUCUCUUCAAUUUUCACGGGAUUAUUGUUUGCAGUGAAUUUUGCAAAAAAAAAGUUAUCUGUUUUGAUGGUUUCUUUUGUAAUGUUGGUUUUACUUUACAAGAAGCAAACUUUCAGUCUUUUGUUUAUUGUUAAACAUCUUCUGCACAGAAAAAGAAAGGCUUUACAGUGAACAGUUAUUUCAAUCUGAUUGAGAAAGAAGCUGCUUUUUUUAGAGAUUAGCAUGAGAGUUUGAGGUGGAAUAUUGGUGAGAAAUUUCAUCUAUGGCUGGAGAAGACUUAGUGGAGCUCAAAUUCAGGCUUGCAGAUGGAAGUGACAUUGGUCCAAGCAAGUAUAGUUCAUCUACAACUGUAGCAUCUCUCAAGGAGAAAAUACUUGCUCAGUGGCCUAAAGGUUAAUUUUUCAUUUUUACCUGCUUAAUUGUAUGCAUAAUGAAUUUUGUGCUUUUUUUAGCCUUUUUCUCAUUACUAUAUCUUGUAUGUAAAGUGUCUUUGUCUUGUUAUUAAUUGUUUCAAAAUCGAAGUUUUCUGUAUCAAGAGUCAAGGUGAUUUUUUUUUUCUUUAUGCCUUCAAAUUAGUUGAGUUCAUGAAGAGUCUUUUGGUUCUUCUACUCUUUUCCAACUGGCAUGAUUUAACUAUAGCUACUGUUCUUCUUAGGUGACAGAUAAUGGGUGAUGGUUCGUUUUUUUCUUUAACCUUUUGUACUCUAGGAUCCCUGCAACAAAAACUCAAAGGCACAUGAAUUUAGACCAAUAACAUACUGAUUUCCUGAAUAACAAAGCAUCACUGAUUUAUUUUGUUGGAUUUAUAUUUGUUCUCUAAAGAGGAAAGUCAGUCUACAAGCUUAUCAGAAACAUUGUUAUUAUUUUCCUGAGGCUGACAAGUUCAAGCACAACCUCACCCUGCCAUUAAAUCAUGCCUUUCGUUACACUUAUUUCACUUCUCAUUUAUUUUCCUUCAGUUUUGCUUCUCUAUAAUGAACACAAGCAAAGUUUAUAGUACAUUGAGGUAGUAUGUUGCUUUUAAUCCUCCUAUACCGAGACUUAUAUCUGAAUUGUUGUGUUGUUUUGUUGUUAUAACAUUGUUCUUUGAUAUACAAUCGGCUUCUGUUUUCAUAUGGAAUACUUUUCUCUGUUUCUCAGACAAAGAAAAUUGCCCAAAGACAAUACAGGAUGUGAAGCUAAUUAAUGCUGGAAAGAUACUUGAAAACAACAGAACACUUGCUGAGUCCAGACUCCCGGUUGGUGAAUGUCCGGGAGGUGUAAUCACAAUGCAUGUCGUUCUGCGUCUUCCUUUGUCAGACAAAAAGAAUGGUAAUCCACAGCCAUUGCAUUUGAUUCCUUACAUAUGGAAGGGAUUUGAGGGCUAAUGCACAUUAUGCAUUUUUAAUCUUGUGCAUAAAUAUAACUGAAUAGGCACAGAUUGAGCUACCUGUAUAAUCAAUGGUAGUUACUAGUAACCAACCAAAUCACCAAUAUUGCAUGCUGCUUUCCAUGUGAACAUUUUCUUAGGAGUAAAUAAUAGUAAUAGUGAACCCGGAACUUAACUUGGUUCAUGGAGUCACCCCUAAGAGGCGUCAUUCAAUAUGUCUAGAGUUCAAAUCCCAACACCUACCUCUCCUUUUCCUAUCCUCAGACUACGACCUCCUUCGUAAUAAAAAAAAUAGUAACAGUCAAAAUAUUCAUCUUUUCUUUCUUCAAUAUAUUUUCAGAAGUUAAUCAUUACAUAAGUAACCUUUGCAACUGAAGCCUAUUCCAUUUCCAUCUCCCCUGCGAGCCAAAAGUUCCACCAAGUUUUUCCAUAUAGGUGAACAAAACAUAGGGUUCCAUGUUUGUUUUCCUAUACUGUCCUUUCUCUCAUUGAAGCUGUAUCCUUGCUCCUGUCUAUUAGCAUGCUAUAGCUAUUAACUCGUCUGGAAAAGUAGGGUUCUGGUGUAUGUUUUUUUGGUACUAUAUUUGCAUUAUGAAGUCCGUUUCAUGUAGUAAGUCUUGUCUAUGAUCAGUAUGUCAUAUCCCUACUUAAGAAGUACUAACUCCCCACAUCUUAUCCACAGAGAAACAACAGAAUGAUUCUCCAAAGAAAAGCAGCUGUUCAUGCACAAUCUUGUAGCUGCCUAAUCAGUUUACUGAUGCUUAUUCUACUGACGCCGGUUACUUCAAGCAUUCCUGUUAUACUUAUUUGUUGAGAUUGCAAUCCUUCAACAUUACACAUGUUUCAGGGUUGAUUACCAAUUCUGGUGGCAGCAGAAAUAUGUAAAAAAAAAAAAAAGGUUGUGCGGUUUGCUUUACUGGAAAAUCUUGCAUUUCCUUUGUUGCUUGUGAAAGAAAGGGCCAAAAACAAAGGAACAGUGUUGAAUUUGAAGCUUAGUUGAUGGACCAAAAAAGAUUAAAAAAAGAAAUUUAAAGAAGAAAUUAUUGAUUUCAUUAUUUUUUAAUUAGACUGCUCUUGAAAAUGUAAAUUCCUUUUUGUCACCUGCAUGAUAGUGGAUGACCACGUGUUUUUGGAAUCAGAAAGACGAGACAAAGUGAAGUGUGGAUGAAGAAAAGAAAACCCAAGGCUGGUGAUGAAGAAAAAUGAAAGCAGAGAUCAAGAGAAAGGUGUGGGACACAAAGGUUGAAUUGAUGCUUCUAGUAAUGAAAUAAAAAUGAUUCUGUCAACCAAAGACAGGAAACUAUAUAUAUAAAUAUAAAUAUAUAUAUAUAUUUUUAACAUUUUGUACCAAACUUGAAAAACUUGAACCCUGCUAUAGCUCAAAUUUCUUGUGAAUUUUGAUAGUUUAAUGACAAGCAUUAACUUAAACCUGUGAAGUGGUCAUUUCUGGGACAUAGCAAACAGGACAUCCAGGGCCAAGUUUGUUCAUUUGGCUCAGGAAUGGUGUCCCCAAGAGAGGCCUAUGAGGAACGAUUCAAGCUUAGGGAUUUCUUGGAUGCCCGAAAUUCUUGAGAGUCUUCAUUCUCUCCUUCAGUCUCUGUAAAUUGAAGGCUUAGCUGAGAGUAUCGCUCAUGCAUCUCUUUUAGUUCAAUUUCUACAGCUCCAUAUCUUCCCUUUAUCUUCAGCAUGUCUUUGAUUAGCUCAUUGAUGUCUCUGAACCUUUUGAACACUGCUUCCUCAUCAUUGUCCUGUUUCAAGAAAGAGCUGGACCAAAAGAGAAUAUUAUGCCAAGUUCUUCGACGUUUCAUUUGCUCAGCUAGAGUUUAAAGUACCCUUUGUCCUAAUUAAUGUCAAUAUCCCCAAACAGCAAUGCAUGAUACAAUUCAAAUUUUCAGCACAAACUCGUUUUACAUAUCAUGAAUCAAUGAGGCUCAAAAAGGGAGAAAUCAAAGCAGUAAAAGGAAAGUCCAGAGGAAAGCACAACCAAUAGAUAUGAACAGUAGUGAAAGAGGAUUGAUAAUUUUGCAGGGAUUCCACCUAUGAGAAUAUAUACCAAGCGAAUGGCUGUGAGAUAUUUCCCAGUCAAUGUUUUAUUUUAGCUCAUUGGAUGCAUUAUACAUGACUGCAAAUGGUUUUCAAAAUUUUUUUUAAGGGGAAAGAAAAAGCAAAUUAAAUGUGAAUGAAGAUGCAUGCUUUGAAUAAGCAUACAGGGACCAGGUAAAGCGCCACCAAACAAGUCCUUGGAUAAUCUUUGUCGUAGAUAAUUUUUUAUAAAUUCAUUAAAUUUCAUAUAAAUAACAAAUUUACUUAGAAUCAAUUAGAAGUUGAGAAAAUAUAAAAACCCUUCAUGAUAAACCCAAAAAAUUGAAUAAAAUCAAUACUAGUAAACAAAACUUUUGCAAGUAUAUACAUUUUCUUCUUGUUUCUAUGUUUCUUUUUUUUGGUACAAAUAAGAAUCAGAAGAGUACAGACUCAUCAGUUUCACCGCCCAAAUGCAAAGCUUUGCCUAAUCUGCCUACUUUAUCAAGCCAAAAGGCCUUUUCUUUGGCCAUAAUAUCAAGCUACAAGGUUAAAGAACCGAAAAAUCAAAUCAAUCAAACAUAAAACAUCCAACUAAGACCAAGCCCAUAAUCAAAAGAAAAAACAAAAAUGGUCCCCAGGACAACUUUUGCCAUCCCAUAUUUGGUAUUUUAAAUAGGUUUUUCUGCAGAAUCAGCAGAAGAAACCUUGGCAGAAUGGGUUUUCCUAGACACCCAGAAGAAACAACCAGCAGCAGGGAUUUUCUUUUCAUCAAAAACCUUAUCAUCGCUCUUUGCCUGUAAUUCCUUCUCCCUUUUCUUCAUUUUCUCCUUAUGUAAAGAUCGCAUCACGUAAGCUUCUGCUAUACCGGUCGUUGCCAUUGCCAAAACUGAUAUAUCAAAACUUGUACUAGAAAAUUUAUUUGAGAUUGGCUAGCCUUGUCUUUGAAAGCACACAAUUUAGGAUGAAAUGAACUGGUUCCUUGAAGGAGCUUUGCUCGGAAAUUUAUAGGCCGCUGUGGGGAAUUAAAAAAGGCGAAACUUCCAUGUAGGGACAGG
rnacentral:lncRNA from 1 species